UUUUUUUUUGUUCAUAAAUUCACAAGUUUCAAUACAUGUUUCAAAAUUUGUAAAUUAGUUCAUUUUUCUAAAAUUGUUCAUGUUGAUCAAUUUUUUACAAGAAAAUCAAAAUGUGUUUAUUUGUUGUUCUCUUUUUAUUUAUCUAUUUUAUCUAUUUUUGUUUUUUCCUGUUCGCUUUUAGUUGUAUGUAUAUAAAAAGUUCGCUUUUAGUUCAUCGUAUAUAAAAAAGUUCAUGUAUAUCAAAAACAAUGUUCAGUGUGUAUUGGAAAAAAAAUUAGUGUGUAUUCAGAAAAUGAUCAUCAUAUAUUAAAGCAUUGUUCACCAUAUAUUAGAACAUUUUUGGUAUUCAUUAACAUUUUUUAUAGUUUGAAAAAACUUAUGUAAAUUCAUGAACAUGUUUUUGAAAUAUGUGUUGAUGAAAUUGAAAAUUAAUUAUAAACUAUAAUAGUGAAAAACGCAAAAACAAAUAGGCAAAAAAUAAAAUAAAUCGUUGGUAACCUAGAAGCUAGCUAUGGGAGAUGUCCUUGUAAAUUUAUAGUGAUCAGAGGUAAAAGCUAACAAGUCAAUUUAGGACUAGCGAUCAUUUUGUUUUCCAGGACAAGCUAGCGAUCAGGUUCCUUGUACGGGUAGCUAGCAACCAGAUUUUUUUUAUGGGGAGAGCUAGUGACCAGAUUUGCGUAUAGGCCGGUCACCAAGGCGGACGCACGACGAGGUAGUUUUUAGUUUUGGGCUUUGACAAAUUAAAAUCAAAUAAACAUGACAAACAAACAGGAAAAAAAACUUAGAUGUGAGAUAUUAUCUCACAUCUAGAUGUGACAUAGACGGACCCUAUAAAAAAAAGUCUUGGUGUGAUCUUGUUGUCGCCUUGAACCUAGUACAAAUUAACAUGCAUGUAAUUCUAUACUUUUUUUUGUGGGUGGCAUGCAAUUCUAUACUACUCGUGCAACUACUCCCCAAAUGUUGAGACAAGUUCUGGACCAAUACUGUGCAAGUUCUGGACUUGGUAAGUGAAGCAAAGUGCAGCAUCUAUUUCAGUCCAAAUGUAAGUGUUGAAAUAAAAGCUAAUAUUUGUAUGGAGCUUAACAUCAUGUCUGAAGCAUUAUCAAAUAAAUAAUUAGGAUAACUUGCCAUGGUUGGGAUCGACAGAAGUGAUAGUUUUGUUCAUCUCUUGGAGAGAAUUAUAAAGAGAUUGAAAAGCUGGAAGGAAAAGUUUUUAUCUAUUGGAGGAAAAGAAAUCUUACUGAAGGUUAUACAAUCUGUUCCUGUGUUUGCUAUGUCAGUCUUUAAUAUUCUCAAAAAACUUUGUAAGGAAAUGACUGAUGCAAUGGUUGAGUUUUGGUGGGGUGAUACAGCUGAUAUUAAACGCAUGCACUGGAUAGCGUGCUUUUGUAAGGAAAUGACAGAAGUGAUAGUUUUAUGGAAGCUAAAAGUGCCUAGUAAAGUUAAAUUUUUUGCAUGGAAGGCUCUGCAUGGAAUAGUACCGGGAUUGGCAGUUCUAGCAAAUAGACAUAUCCCUAGUACAUCACAAUGUCCGGUUUGCUCUAUGGGUCCUCAAGAUGUCAAACACUUGAUGUUUUCAUGUGCUCGAGCAAAACAAGUAUGGAGUUCUUUGGGCCUUCUGGAUGUAAUUCAAGAUGCUGCAAACAUUGAUAGAUCAGGAUCUAUUGUGUUGGAGGAGCUUUUGCGACGACCAGGUAAUAAAUCCCCCGUCCUUGGUCAUGUUGGUCUGAAAGAAUUAGUUAUCGUCGGAGCUUGGUAUAUUUGGUGGCAGCGGAGGGAGUUUAUAAAAGGAAAUCAAGUGGCUAAGCCACCACGCACGGCUUUUGCAAUCCAGGCCUUGACGAGUAAUUUUGGGGCAGGAUGCUCACGUACUGUUUCAAAGGAAACCAAAUGGUGCAAACCUACAAAGGACACUUAUAAAUUGAAUAUUGCUGCUGCAUACAUGGGUGAUGGUUCGGGUGGAGUAGGAGCAGUGGUGCGAAACUGCAACGGAGAAGCUAUAGCUGGAGCAUGCAUGCCUUUACAAAACUUGCUUGAUGCGACAACGGCUGAAGCAAAAGCAUUACAGUAUGGCCUGAAUCUUGCUGACGGCUUGGGGUGUGUUCCUGUCAUUGUAGAAUCGGAUUCAUUGGAGAUUGUUCAGGCUCUUACUGGAACCAUCCAAAUUUGGAGCCCCUACUCAGCUAUUCUUGCAGACUGCUUUCAAAUAGCUCAUAGGAUUGGUGCAAUUUCCAUACAACAUUGCAACCGGGAAGCAAAUUAUGUGGCACAUAAUUUAGCUAGACAUGCUGUUACUUCAAACUCUUCUGUUUUUUGGGAUGACAAUCCUCCUAGCUUUAUUAUUUCGAUGUAAUAAACGAUGUAACUAUUGUGAAGCAUCAAUAAAAUGCGCCAUGAAGGCUUUCCCUCAAAAAAAAAACUCCCCAAAUGUUUAUUCACAAAAAAAACCGUCUCCCUAAAGUUUUAGUACCACUCAUUUGUUUUGGACCUUUUGCUGCAUUGUGCAUGUUUUUUUUGCGGAUGAUGUGCAUGCUAACUCUAUGGUUGUAUCUUCUCGGACAGUGGUAAGAUUUACAAAAGCUAGCUUUCACUAACAAAAAGGAAAGUUACUACCUCCGAUAAAUAUUACUCCCUCCAUACCAAAACAUAAGAUGUUUUUUGACACUGAAAAUGUCAAAAAUGUCUUAUAUUUUGAUAUACGGUUUUGCUAAAGCACAUCUAGAUGUGCCAUAAGUAUUGCACAUCUAAGUCCUAAGUCAUUGAUCUUACGCGGAGAUUCGUGUGGAUUUUGUUCCCUUUUUAUUUUCCUUCUUAUGCUUGAUUGAGUGAAUUAGAUGUGCCCUAGUCAAACCCAGAGGGAUUGUUUGUCUUAGAUUUGUCGAGAUACAGAUAUAUUUAGACACGUUUUAGUGUCAAAUGCAUCUCUAUCUACACAAACCUAAGACAAGUAAUAUGGAUUGGAGGGAGUAGUAUAUACAUAUGGAUUGUGUGCAAUUGCAACAAUGACGAGGUUUUAAAUUGCACCGUCCUUUGGUUUUAUUGCAACAAUGAUGAGGUUUUAAAUUGCACCAACAAUGACAAACCCACUACAACUCCAUUGUAUUCAGCGGAAUAACCAUUAAUUUUUGGCAAAAUAAUACAACUCAUAAAAGAGGCGCACUUUACUGCGCCUUUUUUUGUGAGGCCUUUUUCUAUUGGCAUUUGUGUUCUUUUCUUCUACUAAAAUUUUGGUUGUGUGGAAGAGCGGAGGAUCGAUGACACAACGAACCCUUCCUUCGGUGAGAAAGUAGUACAUUAGUCCUCCCUGGCACUCAAAACGUUAGCAAAAGUUGAUAGAAACUAUCACCACCCCCUUUUACACACGCGCAGGGCAUGUACAAUGCAUAGCCCCCUUGGCGGAGCCACGAAAUUAGAAUGAGGAGGGCCAAGUAUUGUUAAUCUGUGUUAGGGAGGGCCAGCUCACUACUAUACACCACUUUAGCAGCAAUUUAUCAUGUAUUAAUAUGCAUAUUAGNNNNNNNNNNNNNNNNNNNNNNNNNNNNNNNNNNNNNNNNNNNNNNNNNNNNNNNNNNNNNNNNNNNNNNNNNNNNNNNNNNNNNNNNNNNNNNNNNNNNNNNNNNNNNNNNNNNNNNNNNNNNNNNNNNNNNNNNNNNNNNNNNNNNNNNNNNNNNNNNNNNNNNNNNNNNNNNNGCAGGGACCCUACUGGCACCCCCUGUCUCCACCACUGCAUAGCCCUAGGGUGAUACCCCAUAGGCCACAUAGGAUCGAAUAUCAGGAAAAGUAGGUUCGAAUGAAGCAGUGGGAUCCUUUACAGGAGGUGGGUGCUUGAGGAGAAAAAGUGUGGUCUGAUGCAUAAAGCUGGAAAGGUUGAAAUGGAAAGUAGAGAUGCAUGUGUAGUGGGAGUCUUUAUUUUCUAUUAUUUGAUGAGGCCCACUAAUGAUAGGUCGCAUUGGUGAGAAAAAUCAAUGUAGAUGCCUCAAACUACUUUUUGUCAUGAGGCAUUUGUAUCCAUAUGCCACCAUUGUACAUGCCCUGACCACGGAAGCAACUCAUCGUGCACCCAGCAAUUCACAUUGUACCAACGGUAACAUGUGUGAUGCAAAGAGACAGACGCAUGCCACAUAUACCUACAAGUAGACCCAACAACCUUACGCAACUUUACCAUGAAUUUACACCUAGGUCCCAAGGGUGCCUAGCCCUAUUGCACGGAAAACUCCCUUUCUUAUAAAUAGUGGCAGAGAACAAUUUACCCAUGUAUGGCAGAAUUGGUUUUGUUGUAUGACUGUAAGUUAACAUGGUUGGCGGCGCUCCAGGCGGAUCCCAAUGGCGCGCGGCGGCGUGCCGACCGAGCCAGAGCCCCACAGCGGCGCGCCCGGCGACGACCCCCACCACGGACGAGGCCGUUGAGGCCUGUGAGCUCCUUGCCACUAGNNNNNNNNNNNNNNNNNNNNNNNNNNNNNNNNNNNNNNNNNNNNNNNNNNNNNNNNNNNNNNNNNNNNNNNNNNNNNNNNNNNNNNNNNNNNNNNNNNNNNNNNNNNNNNNNNNNNNNNNNNNNNNNNNNNNNNNNNNNNNNNNNNNNNNNNNNNNNNNNNNNNNNNNNNNNNNNNNNNNNNNNNNNNNNNNNNNNNNNNNNNNNNNNNNNNNNNNNNNNNNNNNNNNNNNNNNNNNNNNNNNNNNNNNNNNNNNNNNNNNNNNNNNNNNNNNNNNNNNNNNNNNNNNNNNNNNNNNNNNNNNCAUGGCAUAGGGCGGCGGCCGGACCUGGCAUAGGACGGCGGUGUGGGCCAGGAGUGUGGCCGGCGGCCAUGGCGGUUCCUUCACGGGCAGGGAGAGUGGGGGAGAAGAAGGGAGGCAGAGAAGAGAAGAUGACUAGAUGAGAAGAGACACUGACAUGUCGGCCCCACAUGUCAGUUAAAGGUCAAACAAACGGUCCAACUAACGCUUCGUUUAGGUGUGGGUCCGACCUAUCAUAAUCAUGGUCAAUAGAUUAUUCUCUGCCACUAUUUCUUAGAAAGGGAGUCUUGCCGUGCAAUAGGGCUAGGCACCCCUUGGGACCUAGGUGUAAAUUCGUGGUAAAGUUGCGUAAGAUUGUUGGGUCCACUUGUAGGUACAUGUGGCAUGCUUCUGUCUCUUUGCAUCCUGCCCCUGCUAAGAAGUCUAGUGAUAUAUCGUGCUUUCUAGUCUGGCAUAUAGAUAAUAUAAUAAACCAUCAAAAAUUGAACAAAUGAAAGUGUAGAGUGGUUCUUUCCCUUAUUUAUUUUCUUAACAUCUUUUGACUGUAUAAUUUUUCCUUUGGUUCCUGCCUAAUCGAGCAGAAUAUUUUUUCUUGGUAUGAUCUUAUUGUUGCCUUGGACCCAAAAUUAACUACUACUUAAAUUGCAUGCCAUGCAUGCAAUUUUAUCGCACUUCUGCCCCAGUAUGUAUAACCUGGCUUUUCUUUGAAUUUUCUUCCUAGGUAGUAUUAGCUCAAUUGUCCGAGUGUGGAGCCAUUCUAAGACACUAGCUAUUGUAGUCUGUUGGUCUUCUUGCUGUCUUUUAUCUCUAGCUCAGAACCCGUCUGUUGCAUCUAUAGCGCCGAGUGUGCUGUCGGUGGCAAGGCUAAAGCACGCCAAACCUGUAUAUGACUUAUUACGAAAUAGCCAGUGCGCAGUGUCGUGGCGGACGACCGUAUUUCUUUGACGUAAGAUCGCUAUCAAUGUGGCCUGAAAUGAUAUACGAACAAAACCUCAACAUGCUUUUGGUCUUCUCCAGUAUCCCAAUGAACAAUUUCUCUUUUUGAAAAGACAAUGACCAAAAAUUUGAAGUGCUUUUUGAGCCAAAUAGUAACCAUCACUUAUGUACAAUCUGAAUCAACCGCUGGGAAGCUGUAGCUUAUAUAGACAUAGAGAGAUACGCAUCAUGCAUAUACUACACCCUUUCACGUUUUUUUUUGUUUUUUUGUUUUGAACAACAGAGGGCGCAUGAGGCGCCAAACUUUCUCGUUUCAACUCAGUAACAACGUACAGCAUGAAUUACAAAGCCCUGAAAUUGAAAAGAAGAGAGAAGAGAAACUACAGGGCAAGUCAUAUUCCGAUGAGCUGAAGCGAAACAACAUAUAUCAGGUUCAACCACUGAUGUUAGAACCUGGUGAGCUACAUUGUGUGCAAUACCAUUGAUCUCCCUAGAGAUGUGAAACACCUGGGACUGAAGAUCUGAGGAGUAGCAGAAGAAAUCAGCCAGAAUUUUUCUUAUAGUCCAAGGAGUAGUCGAUUCCUUAAUCUUCCUACUUGCCGUCCAUGACGCCAAAGACAGAUUGUCAGUGAGGAAAGUGGGCUGAGAAAUGCAUAGCUGUUUGGCCACUUGAGCCGCCAAAAGAAGCGCCAAAGCUUCAGCUUGUACAGGUGUAUCUGUGAUAACAGUAGAAGCUUGGAUCUGCACAUUGACCUCCAAUUGGUCUUGUGGCAAAGAGAGGUAAACUCCAAUUCCAGUAGCUACAGAUCCCUGAGUCAAGCCUGGAAUUUUUUUUGCACCUAAAUGUUGCAUCAGAGUAUACUCUUGGUCCUGUAACUAGAAGAUCAGACUUAAUCGUUUUCCCCUACAUAGGAAUCUGAUUAGUAAGAGGUAAAGCACCGACCAUCUCUUUGGAUUUGAGCUGAGAAGAAAUAUGUAUAGAAUCAUCGAGUUCAUUAGAAAGGGCUAUAGCAGCAGUGUUAAUAUGAUAAGGACGAGCUCUAUUCCUACUAAAAAGAUAAUCAUUCCUAGCUUUCCAAAGACACCACAUAAAGUUGAGAAUAUUGUGUAAAGAAGGAUGUGGAUGAUUCAUAUUAAUCAGAGCAAGGAAAAUACUAUGAAUAUUAGGAUUACUUUGAACUAAAAUAUCCAUUCUAAUGCACCAAGGAUUCAGAAACCAAGCAGCUCUAGCAAAAUCACAAAGAAAAAAUAAAUGCAUCUCAUCCUCAGGCUGACCGCAUCUAGUACAAAGUUGAGAGAUGUGCACAGAGAAGCGGCCAACUCUCAAACCUGUGGGAAGAGCUUUUCAAAGAAGCCUCCAAGCAAAAGUUUUAACCCUUGGAAUCAUCAUCUUUUGUUUCCAGACCUCAUUUAGAAGAUUUUUGACCUGCAAAGAUACCUGAGAAGGUGCAAAUCUUGGAUUGGCAUGAAUAUCCUGCAAACACAGCUUAUAAGUAGAUUUAGAAGUACAAAUGCCAUUAGGGGUAAGGUCCCAACACAGAAUAUCCGGGAUGUCCUCUUGAAUAAUAUCAGUCUGCAUAAUAGUAGAAGCAAGAGGUUGUUGGAAAAGAGAAUAAAUGAGGGUAGUAUUCCAUUCUUUUCUAUCAGGAAACCAAAGAUCUUUAACAAGAGAAGGGUAAUUAUAUCCUGAAGGUUGAAUAAUAAGAUGAUCAUAAAUAGCAUUCCAACACGAGCACCAAGGGGUGCUCCAUAUAGAAAUAUUACCUUGAGUAAUCUGAUAAAAAGAAUGAGCUUUGAGUUUGGGCAGCAUUUUGAGAAUGGAGGACCAAAAAGCUGAUUUUGGAUUGGAAGGGCUAGCAGUCCAGAUGGAAGAAUCAUGGAAGUAUUUGGACUUAAGAACAAGAGGAAGAUAGGAAGAAGAAUAUUUCGCUAUACGCCAAGCAGCUACAAGCAUCAGGCCUUCAUUAAUGGCUUGUAAGUUCCUAAUACCAAGGCCACCCUCAUUUUUGGAAUUACAAAUAUCCUUCCAAGCCCUAAGACAUAAGCUUUUGCUAGAAUUAUGCUCUCUAAUACUUGUCCACCAAAAGUUCCUAAUAAUAGCAGUGAGUUUGGCUAUAAACUUCUUAGGAAAUAAAAUAUUAGCCAUAUAGUAAACAGGAAUAGCAGAAAAAACUGACCUAAUCAAUUCAAGCCGAGCUGCAUGAGAGAGCAAGUUGGCCUUAUAAGCGGGAAGCUUAUUCAUGAAUUUAUCCAAAACAAAAUUGUAAGCCACAGAUUUAUUAUUAGCAGGAAGAAUAAGAGGAUGUAACACCCACGAUGCGGCUAUAUCUCCCACGUGUCAAAGCACGACUUAGAGGCAUAACCGCAUGGUGGUUUUGUCGCAAGAAGGGUCAUCUUCACACAAUCCCAUGUAAUGAACAAGAAUGGGAUAAAGAGUUGGCUUACAAUUGCGACUUCACACAAUGAACAUAUAAUAAAAUCAUACAUCAAUCAGAGUACACACAUAGUCCGACUACGGACGAAGCCAAAAGAAAAGAAGAUAACCCAACUGCUAGAUCCCCGAUCGUCCCAACUGGGCUCCACUACUGAUCAACAUGAAACAAAACAUAGCAACGACCAAGAUCUUCGUUGAGCUCCCAUCUGAGCUCGGUUGCAUCACCUGCACUGGUAUCAUCGGCACCUGCAACUGUUGUGAUAGUAUCUGGUGAGUCACGAGGACUCAGCAAUCUUAAAACCCACGAGAUCAAGACUAUUUAAGCUUAUGGGUAGGAAAUGGUAAUGAGGUGGAGUUGCAGCAAGCACUAAGCAAAUAUGGUGGCUAACAUACGCAAAUAAGAGCGAGAAGAGAGCAAACGAACGGUCGUGAAGCUAGCAAUGAUCAAGAAGUGAUCCUGAACUCCUACUUACGUCAAACAUAACCAAAAACCGUGUUCACUUCCCGGACUCUGCCGAAAAGAGACCAUCACGGCUACACACGCGGUUCAUGCGUUUUAAUUCGGAUCUGGUGUCAAGUUAUCUACAACCGGACAUUAACAAAUUCCCAUCUGCCACAUAACCGCAGGCACGGCUCUCGAAAGUUUAUACCCUGCAGGGGUGUCCCAACUUAGCCCAUCACAAGCUCUCACGGUCAACGAAGAAUAUACCUUCUCCCAGGAAGACCCGAUCAGACUCGAAAUCCCGGUUUACAAGACUUUUCGAUAAUGGUAAAACAAGACCAGCAAAGCCGCCCGAUGUGCCGACAAAUUCCGAUAGGAGCUGCACAUAUCUCGUUCUCAGGGCACACCGGAUGAGACAUCCUACGAGUAAAACCAGCCCUCAAGUUUCCCCGAGGUGGCCCUGCAGUCUACUCAGUUCGGACCAACACUCGAAGGAGCACUGGCCCGGGUGUCACGCCCUAUAUGCGACCCUAUCCAAAAGGAACUCGAAGGUCCCACCAAGGAUAGACCCGCAUAUUGAAACGCUUUUGCAAGGUGGAUAUCAUUACAUCAACAUUACAUAAUAGAUGGGGAUACAUACAUAAGGCAUACAAUGCCACACGAAUACAACAUUACAAUACAUAAGAGCAUCAUCCGUCUACGGAUGAAUCACAAACAGAAACUCAAACGACAUCCACCCUGCUAGCCCAGGCUGCCGACCUGGAACCUAUCCCCUGAUCGAAGAAGAAGCAGAAGAAGAACUCAACGCAAGCAAGCAUCGCUCUCGCGUCAUGAUCAUCGGAUAACCGGUACCUACAACUGUCGUUGUAGUAAUCUGUGAGCCACGAGGACUCAACAAUCCCAUUACCAUGGGUAUCAAGACUAGCAAAGCUUAAAGGGAAAGGAAGGGGUAAAGUGGUGAGGCUGCAGCAGCGGCUAAGCAUGAUAUGGUGGCUAACAUACGCAAAUAAGAGCGAGAAGAGAGCAAAAGGAACGGUCGUCAACUAGUAAUGAUCAAGAAGUGAUCCUGAACUCCUACUUACGUCAAUCGUAACCCAGAAACCGUGUACACUUCCCGGACUCCGCCGAGAAGAGACCAUCACGGCUACACAUGCGGUUGAUGCGUUUUUAAUUCGGAUCUGGUGUCAAGUUAUCUACAACCGGACAUUAACAAAUUCCCAUCUGCCUAUAACCGCAGGCACGGCUUUCGAAAGAUUAUACCCUGCAGGGGUGUCCCAACUUAGCCCACAACAAGCUCUCGCGAUCAACGAAGGAAUAGACCUUCUCCCAGGAAGACCCGAUCAGACUCGGAAUCCCGGUUUACAAGACAUUUCGACAAUGGUAAAACAAGACCAGCAAAGCCGCCCGAUGCGCCGACAAUCCCGAUAGGAGCUGCACAUUUCUCGUUCUCAGGGCAACACCGGAUGAGCAAUCCGUACAACUAAAACCAGACCUCAAGUUUCCCUGAGGGGGCGCUGCAAAGGGCUCUAGUUCGGACCAACACUUAAACAAGCACUGGCCCGAGGGGGGCUAUAAUAAAGAUGACCCUCGAGAGAGCGACUCCCAAGGGAAAAGUAGGUGGUGGUGAGGCAAAUGGUAAAAGUCAAUGUUGGGCCUUGCUGGAGGAGUUUUAUUCAAAGCGAACUGUCAAGGGGGUCCCAUAAAUCACCCGACCGUGUAAGGAACGCAAAAUCCGGGAACAUAACACCGGUAUGACGGAAACUAGGGCAGCAAGAGUGGAACAAAACACCAGGAAAAAGGCCGAGCCUUCCACCCUUUACCAAAUAUAUAGAUGCAUUAAUAAUAUAAGAGAUAUUGUGAUAUCCCAACCAAAAUCCUGUCCACCAUGGAGCAAUCUUCAACUUCACCUGCAACUAGCAACGCUAUAAGAGGGCUGAGCAAAGCGGUAACAUAGCCAAGCAACGGUUUGCUAGGAAGGGUGUCAAAGGUUAGAGGUUCAUGGCAAUUUGGGAGGCUUGAUGAGCAAAAGAUAGGUAACGCAGCAUAGCGAUAGAACGAAGCAACUAGCAUAGCAAUGAUAGUAGUGAGAUCCAGGGUAGCGGUCAUCUUGCCUAAAAUCCCACUAGGAAGAAGAACGAGUCCAUGAAGAAGACAAGCGGAAGUAGUCGAACGAAUCCUCACAAUCGCAAUGUUACCAGAACUAAGAAGCAACACCGGAAAGAAACAAACAACAUGGUAAACACACAAGCAUAAUCAUGGCAUGAUGCACAACCAAGUAUGAUGCAUGUCCGGUUUAAAGAGGCAUGGCAUGGCAAACUGCAACACACAAUACUACAAAUUAAGUGGAGCUCAAUAUGCAACGAGUUGCAUAUUGACAAAACACCACAUUGACAUAUUUAGUUUAAUCUUGUUUAUGUACCCAACAAUAUUAAAUGUUGUUAAACAUGGCAAGAGGUGAAGCAUAAGAAAACUAACUAUAUAGGCAAGUUUAAAUGAGGCCGAAAAUAACAAACAACAAUUCCGGAAAAUCCCCAUAUGCAAAUUUUAGAUUCGGUACUGUUCUGCCCUAAACACAAUUUUAUUGUUGUUAAACAGUAAAACAAAGUGGACCAUGUUAAACUAGGCAUUUUUCCACCUCAUUUACAUAUAAAGUUUAUUUAAAACAGAGUUACGGUUAUUUAGUUAUGAAAUAAAUCAUUUUAGCAUGGCAUUAUGCAAAAGAAACACAAACAGCAUGUUAAACAUUUUAACAUGGGAUGAAAAUGACAUAUUAUUAAUCUACACAAUUUUCUGAGCAUUUUUCAUAUAUAAUGUUUUUUACAAAAGAUGCAUAGUUUGUGAGUUAUUAAAUGCAUGAAAUCUAGGGACUAUUCUGCAAAACAGGUAAAUCCUGGAUAAAUCCUAAAAUCGCACAGACUGGAAAAAAACACUACUGGGCUGAGACUGUUGGGUGCUGGGCUGCUCACCUAGCUGGGCUAGGCCCAGAUCGGAAGCAGAAGGAGCCGGCUGGGGGGCUGCAGGACGUGGGCUGCUGGGCUGGAGGCGAUCGAGGCCUGGUACACGCGUGCGCGGUCAACGCGAGCGCUCGGUCGUUUCUGACGAGAGGAACCAGGCGGCAGCGAGACUGCGAUGGCGCUGGUGGCCUCCGGCGUGGGCAUGGAGGUCGAUGGCGAGAGGGGAACCGCGGGGAAGGCGAGGGACGACCGGGAUCCACGAGAUCCGGUGGUGGGGAACCCGUUCCCGGCGACAGCGAGGACCACCGACGACGGGCGGAGCUCCAUGGCUUCCUGUAGAGUGGGGGGGAGAGAGAGAUCGUGAGAGGGAGAGAAAGCCAGAGGAGAGGGGAGACGGGGAGGCGCUACCUGGCGGAGGCGGCGGCCAUGAUCUCCUGCGGGGACUGACUCAGGUGACCCGCCGGAGCAGGGAACGACGACGGGAGGCGAGGCUGAGAGGCGGCGGCGGCGCUCUCGAUCCCCUGAUCGAGCGGGAGGAGCGGGGCGGCUCGAGCGCCCUGCGGCUGCGGGAUCUGGGCCUGGCGCGGCCCGGCGCGGGCUCCAGAUAGGCUUCACAGGGCCGCGGGGAAGUGGGGCGGCUGGAGGCGCGGGAGGGAACACAUGGCAGCGCCUGGGUGGCUACGGCGACGCUGGAGGGUGACGUGGCACGCGGGGAGUGGCUGAAGGGCGUGGCGGCGGCGCAGCCAAGUGGCGAAGGUGGCUUGGCCGGCGCAGACUGCGAGAAGGGGCGGCGGCUGUGGGUUAGGGGCGCAGAAAAAGAGGAGGAGGGGGGUAGGAUUCCAGAUUAGGAAGGACUAGCCUUCCUUAUAUAGGCAGGGUUAGGGUUAGGGGGGUUUCGGACGCGAGGGGGGUUAGGCAGGCCUAGGUGGGCUGUGUAGAAUGCCUCGAGCUGAGAAGAGAGAGAAACAGAGCUACCCAGUGGCAGUUUCCGGAGAAUGAAAUGUCCGACGAUUAAACCGACUAUAUCGCGGUUAUAAAUAUAACGGUUGGGCAGUCAAACGUACUCCGAAUGCUGGCAGUCGGCCUGUCUACACUAUAAUAAGACCGCACGACAAGUUGCAACCCAUUUCGAGAACAUUUUUGCCACUUAUAAAAUAAUAUUUCGGAGGUGCCGCGGGCGCGUGCGAGUGUGUCUGGGCUCGGAAUGGACAACGGAGAGAACCGGCGGAACCCGAACGGAUGCAUGUUUUAUGAAAACAUAUGGAUGUGAUGCAUAUGAUGCUAUGAGAUGAGAUGCAUAACAAGAACAAAAUGCAAAAAAAACGACAAAAACCCAACCACGAAGGAAAUAUCAUAUAGCAUCUCCAGAAAAGGCAAGAGUCAGAGUUACGAAUAUGGAAAGUUGUAUCUGGGGUGUUACAACACUCCACCACUACGAGAGGAUCUCGUCCCGAGAUCUAGGAUGGCACCGGAGGGAAAAGGAAGAGGAAGAUAAGCGGUAAAACUAAGUUGCUUCUUCGACAAACGAGUGAAAACACGAACCUUGAGAGGUUGAACAAAUUGAAAGAAACAAAACAACGGAGAUGGCCAAGAUUGCAAACAGUCCGUUAGAAAAGAGGAACAAGGAACAUUACGAGAACUUGAUGGUUGCAAAGACACGAAUCAAGAGUUUAAUGGACAAGAUAGAAUUCGUAACCACUCCGGCUAAAACAAGAUGAGAGAGGAAGAAUUCGGGCAGCACUCCGGUUGAACAUGGAAGGAAUAGCAAAAUGAAAGCACUUGGAUGAGACUCCGGUUAAAAGAGGAAUGAUAUACACAACACUCCGGUUAAGUGGAUAAGCACGAAAAGAACAUGAUCUUGACAAAACGAGGUGAUGGGUGAAGAGAGCAACAUCACAAUGCCUCCGGGAGAAAGAAUAGAAGAUAGAUCAUUGAAAUAAAAGAAUGGAGAAGAAAAUGCCAACUUCUGCCACAAAUGAGCUUGGAAAGCAUCUUUGUAAAGAAGAAUUGAACAGAGUUGUUGCAAAAUCAACAACGAAAAGCACAAGUUUGUAGUGGGCUUAUGGAAAAUUUCUCACAAUUGAGGCGAAAUUCUGCCAGUACGGAAACAAAUAAUAGAAGUGAUAACACUAACGAGAUGAAAAACUUCUUCCACCGAGAUGAUUGAGAGAUAACUUGGACCAUUGAUAAUCACCACAAUAGCAACAUUCCUUAGGGAAGGCUUUAGGUGACAUAUGACACAAGAUAACUCCAACAAAGAGAAUGAUGGAUUUAAAAUACCUCAUUCUUGACAACAAUAUGAAUCAUGAAACAUGAAGGAAAUUGUCAAGAGUGACAUAACACCACCUCAAAUGAUAAGGUAGAACGAAUUGCACUUCGAAAUGCAAGAUGAAGAAUACUUCAACGCCUCAAAACAAAACAAGUGUUGAGCACCAUGUUUAAUUUAGAGCAUAGUUUGGCGGAUCAUAACUUCGAGAGAAAUCUUGAAGAACCAUUGAAAAUGAAUAGAAUCCUUGACGAACCACCAUGUAGAGCCUCCAUGAAGAACUCCGGUAAAGAAAGUAUGAUAGAAAGAAAGAGAAGUUGAAAACACAAGGUGAAGCCUUGCGAUGAUUUAGAUGGAGCUUUGCGAUGAUAUAACCAAGAGAACUUGGAACUCCGGAAAGAAAAGAUGAAUACUAGAACCGAGAAUUACUUCAUCAUGAAUAAUCUCCGUAAAAAGAACUGAGUCACCUCGAGGAAAUAAGAAUAAGAUUUAUUGUAUGCUUAUCCUUCAUCAAAUUUAAUUGAUGACAAGCAACGGAUUUGACAUACUACUUAUUCCCCUAGAAAAAGGAUUAAGAAAGAUAUAGCGUAAACUUGAGAAGGUAUUGAUGGAGCCACCAGUGGGAUUUGGAAACAACGAAUGAAUUGAUAUGAUAACGAAGGAAGUGAAAUCUUGAACGAACCACCGUAAGAAUUGAAAAUGAACGAAGAAAAGAUAAAGAAACACCGGGAAGAAUUGGAAAACGAAUGAAGAUACUUGAGGGGAUUUAGAUACAUGAGAACAAAGAAAUCAUGAACUGAUUAGAAGGUAUUUGAAUGAUGCACCAGAAGAAUUCGGGAACGAAAGUUGAAAGCUGAUAAUGAAUAAUUAUGACAUGAAGGACUUCGGAGGAAAGAAAUGGAAACAACUCAUGAAAUGCUCCGGAUGGGUGAAAAGAAUUUCUCACGAUCGAAACAAAUAUGGGGAUGGCAUGAAGCUAGAACCACGCAUCUUUAAGAGAAUGGAGCAAGAUUUAAGAGAAACUCUUCUUCGGUCUUCAAAUGUUGAGAAUGAUGAUGAGAACCACCAUGAAUUGUUGAGGUACUACGGAACAAAGAAGAAUAGAAAUGAUGAACCAACGAUGAAAAUAUUCUGAAAGCGAUCUUGGAUAAGGAAAAUGACUGAUGAAAAUUCAUUCUUAUGUCAAACUUCGAAAGACUUUGGGAAUGGCUCCGGGAAAAUUAGAAGAGUCAGGUAAGAUCCUGGGAAAAGACCUGUGGGUUAGGGCCCACUCAAAAGAAAAUGUCGUUAAAAAAAGGUCGCUUGGAAGAGAGAUUGCACCGGUUGAAUUAAAUGACUUGAAUGAGAUAACAACCUCGAAAUAUCUUGAAUGGAUUGAGAAUGGAAACACAAGUCUUCUGAGAUAUCUUGAGCACUCCAGAUAAGAAUAGAGAGAGGUGAACAAUUAAGAGGUGCACCGACGUGGAAAAACAUUUUACACGAGGAAAGGAAUAUGAUCGACACUGAAAGCUUGGAUUGGAUUCACCGGAGAGGAAAAAAGAACGAAGGAUGAUGAACUUAAAACUGUUGAGCAUCUUCUCGGGAAAUCACCGGAUAAGAACAUUGAUUGAAAAGAGUGAAGAGACUUCACAUGAAUAAAUGGAUACUUGAUUAUAAUAUAUGAGUCCCUGAAGAAAAAGGGUGGGAGGGCGGGGAAAAACAAAGACAACUUGGGAUGAACAAAACAAACACCGUUGAGAAAACUUAGAAUUGAUCUUAUGGAUGGGGAGAAUGAUGGGAUCAUCUCGAAGAGAAGCGCACCGGUUGGAAAAGAAUUGACAUGACAAUCUCGAUGAUCAAAAGGAUUAGCACUCCCAUAGAAAUAUGAGAACACCAUUUAAGAAAGGUAUGGAACCAACACUUGACUUCGAAGCAACUCGAAUACCACAAAUAAAACAAAACAAAGGAUUUGGCUUGCAGAAUAAGCCGGAAACAAACAUAUGAUAGAUCCCAUAUCGUAUCAUGUGUCUGUUGGAAAGAUAAAACUAGAGCUACUUGAAUUCCCACCUAUAAACUCCCGAAACUUUCUGGUUAUGCAAUCUGCUGUUGGGGAUACAAGGGAAGCAAUAUAUCUCACCCAAACUAACAAUACCUACAUCCAAGUUGUAUCCAUCCGUCAACACAUAACCAAGAAACCUUCGGAAAUCGUGUACCUCAACCUUCGAAAAGCAUCCAUUAUACGAGUUACGGCAAUACUCCCGAGCUCGCCCUAGUACUGGGUUAUCGGGGUUAUCUCACCAACAACUGCAUAAAAGAGAUUUUCGAUGUCGGCAAAACUCAGGUAUUCCAGAACUGCAACGAUAAAAUUGUGACGACAACACCUCAGAGCUCGACUCCCCGGGUCAAAGCCACAUAAAUAGACAGGAGGCACCAAGAACAAUGUUCUCGUCACAAAACCAUCGGAACGAUUCCAAGAUACCCGUGUGAUCCUAAAAAAAAUUAGUGAAAUUUGAGGAGAGGAAAGACAAAACAUCUACGUCAAGAGUCCUCACCAGAGCGACGAAGGGGGCUGAGGAGUAAAAAGAAUCCUACUCUCCGAUAUAUAUAAUCCUAAGACUCAAAAUAGUUUUUUUCUAGACUCAACAACGGCCAACAAUCAAGGGGGCUCCUAUGGUCGGUCGAGGCUCUGAUUACCAACUUGUCACGCCCAAUAUGCGACCCUAUCCAAAAGGAACUCGAAGGUCCCACCAAGGAUAGACCCGCAUAUCGAAACGCUUUUGCAAGGUGGAUAUCAUUACAUCAACAUUACAUAAUAGAUGGGGAUACAUACAUAAGGCAUACAAUGCCACACGAAUACAACAUUACAAUACAUAAGAGCAUCAUCCGUCUACGGAUGAAUCACAAACACAAACUCAAACGACAUCCACCCUGCUAGCCCAGGCUGCCGACCUGGAACCUAUCCCCUGAUCAAAGAAGAAGCAGAAGAAGAACUCAACGCAAGCAAGCAUCGCUCUCGCGUCAUGAUCAUCGGAUAACCUGUACCUGCAACUGUCGUUGUAGUAAUCUGUGAGCCACGAGGACUCAGCAAUCCCAUUACCAUGGGUAUCAAGACUAGCAAAGCUUAAAGGGAAAGGAAGGGGUAAAGUGGUGAGGCUGCAGUAGCGGCUAAGCAUGAUAUGGUGGCUAACAUACGCAAAUAAGAGCGAGAAGAGAGCAAAAGGAACGGUCGUCAACUAGUAAUGAUCAAGAAGUGAUCCUGAACUCCUACUUACGUCAAUCGUAACCCAGAAACCGUGUUCACUUCCCGGACUCCACCGAGAAGAGACCAUCACGGCUACACACGCGGUUGAUGCGUUUUUGAUUCGGAUCUAGUGUCAAGUUAUCUAUAACCGGACAUUAACAAAUUCCCAUCUGCCUAUAACCGCAAGCACGGCUUUCGAAAGAUUAUACCCCAUAGGGGUGUCCCAACUUAGCCCACAACAAGCUCUCACGAUCAAUGAAGGAAUAGACCUUCUCCUAGGAAGACCCGAUCAGACUCGGAAUCCCGGUUUACAAGACAUUUCGACAAUGGUAAAACAAGACCAGCAAAGCCACCCGAUGCACCGACAAUCCCGAUAGGAGCUGCACAUUUCUCGUUCUCAGGGCAACACCGGAUGAGCAAUCCGUACAACUAAAACCAGACCUCAAGUUUCCCUGAGGGGGCGCUGCAAAGGGCUCUAGUUCGGACCAACACUUAGACAAGCACUGGCCCGGGGGGGCUAUAGUAAAGAUGACCCUCGAGGGAGCGACUCCCAAGGGAAAAGUAGGUGGUGGUGAGGCAAAUGGUAAAAGUCAAUGUUGGGCCUUGCUGGAGGAGUUUUAUUCAAAGCGAACUGUCAAGGGGGUCCCAUAAAUCACCCGACCACAUAAGGAAUGCAAAAUCCGAGAACAUAACACCGGUAUGACGGAAACUAGGGCGGUAAGAGUGGAACAAAACACCAGGCAAAAGGCCGAGCCUUCCACCCUUUACCAAAUAUAUAGAUGCAUUAAUAAUAUAAGAGAUAUUGUGAUAUCCCAACCAAAAUCCUGUCCACCAUGGAGCAAUCUUCAACUUCACCUGCAACUAGCAACGCUAUAAGAGGGCUGAGCAAAGCGGUAACAUAGCCAAGCAACGGUUUGCUAGGAAGGGUGUCAAAGGUUAGAGGUUCAUGGCAAUUUGGGAGGCUUGAUGAGCAAAAGAUAGGUAAUGCAGCAUAGCGAUAGAACGAAGCAACUAGCAUAGCAAUGAUAGUAGUGAGAUCCAGGGUAGCGGUCAUCUUGCCUGAAAUCCCGCUAGGAAGAAGAACGAGUCCAUGAAGAAGACAAGCGGAAGUAGUCGAACGAAUCCUCACAAUCACAACAUUACCGGAACUAAGAAGCAACACCGGAAAGAAACAAACAACAUGGUAAACACACAAGCAUAAUCAUGGCAUGAUGCACAACCAAGUAUGAUGCAUGUCCGGUUUAAAGAGGCAUGGCAUGGCAAACUGCAACACACAAUACUACAAAUUAAGUGGAGCUCAAUAUGCAACGAGUUGCAUAUUGACAAAACACCACAUUGACAUAUUUAGUUUAAUCUUGUUUAUGUACCCAACAAUAUUAAAUGUUGUUAAACAUGGAAAGAGGUGAAGCAUAAGAAAACUAACUAUAUAGGCAAGUUUAAAUGAGGCCGGAAAUAACAAACAACAAUUCCGGAAAAUCCCCAUAUGCAAAUUUUAGAUUCGGUACUGUUCUGCCCUAAACACAAUUUUAUUGUUGUUCAACAGUAAAACAAAGUGGACCAUGUUAAACUAGGCAUUUUUCUACCUCAUUUACAUAUAAAGUUUAUUUAAAACAGAGUUACGGUUAUUUAGUUAUGAAAUAAAUCAUUUUAGCAUGGCAUUAUGCAAAAUAAACACAAACAGCAUGUUAAACAUUUUAACAUGGGAUGAAAAUGACAUAUCAUUAAUCUACACAAUUUUCUGAGCAUUUUUCAUAUAUAAUGUUUUUUACAAAAGAUGCAUAGUUUGUGAGUUAUUAAAUGCAUGAAAUCUAGGGACUAUUCUGCAAAACAGGUAAAUCCUCGAUAAAUCCUAAAAUCGCACAGACUGGAAAAAACACUACUGGGCUGAAACUGUUGGGCGCUGGGCUGCUCACCUAGCUAGGCUAGGCCCAGAUAAGAAGCAGAGGGAGCCGGCUGGGGGCGCAGGACAUGGGCUGCUGGGCUGGAGGCGAUCGAGGCAUGGUACACGCGGGCGCGGUCAACGCGAGCGCUCGGUCGUUUCUGACGAGAGGAAGCAGGCGGCAGCGGGACUGCGAUGGCGCUGGUGGCCUCCGGCGAGGGCAUGGAGGUCGACGGCGAGAGGGGAACCGCGGGGAAGGCGAGGGACGACCGGGAUCCACCAGAUCCGGUGGUGGGGAACCCGUUCCCGGCGAUGGCGAGGACCACCGACGACGGGCGGAGCUCCAUGGCUUCCUGCGGAGUGGGGGUGAGAGAGAGACCGUGAGGGGGAGAGAAAGCCAGAGGAGAGGGGAGACAGGGAGGCGCUACCUGGCGGAGGCGGCGGCCAUGAUCUCCGGUGGGGACUGACUCCGGUGACCCGCCGGAGCAGGGAACGACGACGGGAGGCGAGGCUGAGAGGCAGCGGCGGCGCUCUCGAUCCCCUGAUCGAGCGGGAGGAGCGGGGCGGCUUGAGCGCCCUGCGGCUGCGGGAUCCGGGCCUGGCGCAGCUCGGCGCGGGCUCCAGAUGGGCUUCACAGGGCCGCGGGGAAGUGGGGCGGCUGGAGGCGCGGGAGGGAACACGUGGCAGCGCCUGCGUGGCUGCGGCGACGCUGGAGGGUGACGUGGCACGGGGGGAGUGGCUGAAGGGCGUGGAGGCGGUGCAGCCAAGUGGCGAAGGUGGCUUGGCCGGCGCAGACUGCGAGAAGGGGCGGCGGCUGCGGGUUAGGAGCGCGGAAAAAGAGGAGGAGGGGGGGUAGGAUUCCAGAUUAGGAAGGACUAGCCUUCCUUAUAUAGGCAGGGUUAGGGUUAGGGGGGUUUCGGACGCGAGGGGGGUUAGGCAGGCCUAGGUGGGCUGUGUAGAAUGCCUCGAGCUGAGAAGAGAGAGAAACAGAGCGACCCGGUGGCAGUUUCCGGAGAACGAAACGUCCGACGAUUAAACCGACUAUAUCGCGGUUAUAAAUAUAACGGUUGGGCAGUCAAACGGACUCCGAAUGCGACGAAACUUGGCAGGCGGCCUAUCUACACUAUAAUAAGACCGCACGACAAGUUACAACCCAUUCCGAGAACAUUUUUGCCACUUAUAAAAUAAUAUUUCGGAGGUGCCGCGGGCGCGUGCGAGUGUGUCUAGGCUCGGAACGGACAACGGAGAGAACCGGCGGAACCCGAACAGAUGCAAGUUUUAUGAAAACAUAUGGAUGUGAUGCACAUGAUGCUAUAAGAUGAGAUGCAUAACAAGAACAAAAUGCAAAACAAACGACAAAAACCCAACCACGAAGGAAAUAUCAUAUAGCAUCUCCGGAAAAGGCAAGAGUCGGAGUUACGAAUAUGGAAAGUUGUAUCCGGGGCGUUACAACACUCCACCACUACGAGAGGAUCUCGUCCCGAGAUCUAGGAUGGCACCGGAGGGAAAAGGAAGAGGAAGAUAAGCGGUAAAACUAAGUUGCUUCUUCGACAAACGAGUGAUGGGUGAAGAGAGCAACAUCACAAUGCCUCCGGGCGAAAGAAUAGAAUAUAGAUCAUUGAAAUAAAAGAAUGGAGAAGAAAAUGCCAACUUCUGCCACAAAUGAGCUUGGAAAGCAUCUUUGUAAGAAGAAUUGAACGGAGCUGUUGCAAAAUCAACAACGAAAAGCACAAGUUUGUAGUGGGCUUAUGGAAAAAUUCUCACAAUUGAGGCGAAAUUCUGCCAGUACGGAAACAAAUAAUAGAAGUGAUAACACUAACGAGAUGAAAAACUUCUUCCACCGAGAGGAUUGAGAGAUAACUUGGACCAUUGAUAAUCACCACAAUAGCAACAUUCCUUAGGGAAGGCUUUAGGUGACAUAUGACACAAGAUAACUCCAACAAAGAGAUUGAUGGAUUUAAAAUACCUCAUUCUUGACAACAAUAUGAAUCAUGAAACAUGAAGGAAAUUGCCAAGAGUGACAUAACACCACCUCAAAUGAUAAGGUAGAAUGAAUUGCACUUCGAAAUGCAAGAUGAAGAAUACUUGAACGCCUCAAAACAAAACAAGUGUUGAGCACCAUGUUUAAUUUAGGGCAUAGCUUGGCGGAUCAUAACUUCGAGAGAAAUCUUGAAGAACCAUUGAAAAUGAAUAGAAUCCUUGACGAACCACCAUGUAGAGCCUCCAUGAAGAACUCCGGUAAAGAAAGUAUGAUAGAAAGAAAGAGAAGUUGAAAACACAAGGUGAAGCCUUGCGAUGAUUUAGAUGGAGCUUUGCGAUGAUAUAACCAAGAGAACUUGGAACUCCGGAAAGAAAAGAUGAAUACUAGAACCGAGAAUUACUUCAUCAUGAAUAAUCUCCGUAAAAAGAACUGAGUCACCUCAAGGAAAUAAGAAUAAGAUUUAUUGUAUGCUUAUCCUUCAUCAAAUUUAAUUGAUGACAAGCAACGGAUUUGACAUACUACUUAUUCCCCUAGAAAAAGGAUUAAGAAAGAUAUAGCGUAAACUUGAGAAGGUAUUGAUGGAGCCACCAGUGGGAUUUGGAAACAACGAAUGAAUUGAUAUGAUAACGAAGGAAGUGAAAUCUUGAACGAACCACCGUAAGAAUUGAAAAUGAAUGAAGAAAAGAUAAAGAAACACCGGGAAGAAUUGGAAAACGAAUGAAGAUACUUGAGGGGAUUUAGAUACAUGAGAACAAAGAAAUCAUGGACUGAUUAGAAGGUAUUUGAAUGAUGCACCGGAAGAAUUCGGGAACGAAAGUUGAAAGCUGAUAAUGAAUAAUUAUGACAUGAAGGCCUUCGGAGGAAAGAAAUGGAAACAACUCAUGAAAUGCUCCGGAUGGGUGAAAAGAAUUUCUCACGAUCGAAACAAAUAUGGGGAUGGCAUGAAGCUAGAACCACGCAUCUUUAAGAGAAUGGAGCAAGAUUUAAGAGAAACUCUUCUUCGGUCUUCAAAUGUUGAGAGUGAUGAUGAGAACCACCAUGAAUUGUUGAGGUACUACGGAACAAAGAAGAAUAGAAAUGAUGAACCAACGAUGAAAAUAUUCUGAAAGCGAUCUUGGAUAAGGAAAAUGACUGAUGAAAAUUCAUUCUUACGUCAAACUUCGAAAGACUUUGGGAAUGGCUCCGGGAAAAUUAGAAGAGUCAGGUAAGAUCCUGGGAAAAGACCUGUGGGUUAGGGCCCACUCAAAAGAAAACACCGUUAAAAAAAGGUCGCUUGGAAGAGAGAUUGCACCGGUUUAAGUAAAUGACUUGAAUGAGAUAACAACCUCGAAAUAUCUUGAACGGAUUGAGAAUGGAAACACAAGUCUUCUGAGAUAUCUUGAGCACUCCGGAUAAGAAUAGAGAGAGGUGAACAAUUAAGAGGUGCAUCGACGUGGAAAAACAUUUUACAUGAGGAAAGGAAUAUGAUCGACACUGAAAGCUUGGAUUGGAUUCACCGGAGAGGAAAAAAGAACGAAGGAUGAUGAACUUAAAACUGUUGAGCAUCUUCUCGGGAAAUCACCGGAUAAGAACAUUGAGUGAAAAGAGUGAAGAGACUUCACAUGAAUAAAUGGAUACUUGAUUAUAAUAUAUGAGUCCUUGAAGAAAAAGGGUGGGAGGGCGGGGAAAAACAAAGACAACUUGGGAUGAACGAAACAAACACCGUUGAGAAAACUUAGAAUUGAUCUUGUGGAUGGGGAGAAUGAUGGGAUCAUCUCGAAGAGAAGCGCACCGGUUGGAAAAGAAUUGACAUGACAAUCUCAAUGAUCAAAAGGAUUAGCACUCCCAUAGAAAUAUGAGAACACCAUUUAAGAAAGGUAUGGAACCAACACUUGACUUCGAAGCAACUCGAAUACCACAAAUAAAACAAAACAAAGGAUUUGGCUUGCAGAAUAAGCCGGAAACAAACAUAUGAUAGAUCCCAUAUCGUAUCAUGUGUCUGUUGGAAAGAUAAAACUAGAGCUACUUGAAUUCCCACCUAUAAACUCCCGAAACUUUCUGGUUAUGCAAUCUGGUGUUGGGGAUACAAGGGAAGCAAUAUAUCUCACCCAAACUAACAAUACCUACAUCCAAGCUGUAUCCAUCCGUCAACACAUAACCAAGAAACCUUCGGAAAUCGUGUACCUCAACCUUCGAAAAGCAUCCAUUAUACGAGUUAUGGCAAUACUCCCGAGCUCGCCCCAGUACUGGGUUAUCGGGGUUAUCUCACCAACAACUGCAUAAAAGAGAUUUUCGAUGUCGGCAAAACUCAGGUAUUCCAGAACUGCAACGAUAAAAUUGUGACAACAACACCUCAGAGCUCGACUCCCCGGGUCAAAGCCACAUAAAUAGACAGGAGGCACCAAGAACAAUGUUCUCGUCACAAAACCAUCGGAACGAUUCCAAGAUACCCGUGUGAUCCUAAAAAAAUUUAGUGAAAUUUGAGGAGAGAAAAGACAAAACAUCUACGUCAAGAGUCCUCACCAGAGCGACGAAGGGGGCUGAGGAGUAAAAAGAAUCCUACUCUCCGAUAUAUAUAAUCCUAAGACUCAAAAUAGUUUUUUUUCUAGACUCAACAACGGCCAACAAUCAAGGGGGCUCCUAUGGUCGGUCGAGGCUCUGAUUACCAACUUGUCAUGCCCAAUAUGCGACCCUAUCCAAAAGGAACUCGAAGGUCCCACCAAGGAUAGACCCGCAUAUCGAAACGCUUUUGCAAGGUGGAUAUCAUUACAUCAACAUUACAUAAGAGAUGGGGAUACAUACAUAAGGCAUACAAUGCCACACGAAUACAACAUUACAAUACAUAAGAGCAUCAUCCGUCUACGGAUGAAUCACAAACAGAAACUCAAACGACAUCCACCCUGCUAGCCCAGGCUGCCGACCUGGAACCUAUCCCCUGAUCGAAGAAGAAGCAGAAGAAGAACUCGACGCAAGCAAGCAUCGCUCUCGCGUCAUGAUCAUCGGAUAACUUGUACCUGCAACUGUUGUUGUAGUAAUCUGUGAGCCACGAGGACUCAGCAAUCCCAUUACCAUGGGUAUCAAGACUAGCAAAGCUUAAAGGGAAAGGAAGGGGUAAAGUGGUGAGGCUGCAGCAGCGGCUAAGCAUGAUAUGGUGGCUAACAUACGCAAAUAAGAGCGAGAAGAGAGCAAAAGGAACGGUCGUCAACUAGUAAUGAUCAAGAAGUGAUCCUGAACUCCUACUUACGUCAAUCGUAACCCAGAAACCGUGUACACUUCCCGGACUCCGCCAAGAAGAGACCAUCAUGGCUACACACGCGGUUGAUGCAUUUUUAAUUCGGAUCUGGUGUCAAGUUAUCUACAACCGGACAUUAACAAAUUCCCAUCUGCCUAUAACCGCAGGCACGGCUUUCGAAAGAUUAUACCCUGCAGGGGUGUCCCAACUUAGCCCACAACAAGCUCUCGCGAUCAACGAAGGAAUAGACCUUCUCCCAGGAAGACCCGAUCAGACUCGGAAUCCCGGUUUACAAGACAUUUCGACAAUGGUAAAACAAGAUCAGCAAAGCCGCCCGAUGCGCCGACAAUCCCGAUAGGAGCUGCACAUUUCUCGUUCUCAGGGCAACACCGGAUGAGCAAUCCGUACAACUAAAACCAGACCUCAAGUUUCCCUGAGGGGGCGCUGCGAAGGGCUCUAGUUCGGACCAACACUUAGACAAGCACUGGCCCAGGGGGGGCUAUAAUAAAGAUGACCCUCGAGAGAGCGACUCCCAAGGGAAAAGUAGGUGGUGGUGAGGCAAAUGGUAAAAGUCAAUGUUGGGCCUUGCUGGAGGAGUUUUAUUCAAAGCGAACUGUCAAGGGGGUCCCAUAAAUCACCCGACCGCGUAAGGAACGCAAAAUCCGGGAACAUAACACCGGUAUGAUGGAAACUAGGGCGGCAAGAGUGGAACAAAACACCAGGAAAAAGGCCGAGCCUUCCACCCUUUACCAAAUAUAUAGAUGCAUUAAUAAUAUAAGAGAUAUUGUGAUAUCCCAACCAAAAUCCUGUCCACCAUGGAGCAAUCUUCAACUUCACCUGCAACUAGCAACGCUAUAAGAGGGCUGAGCAAAGCGGUAACAUAGCCAAGCAACGGUUUGCUAGGAAGGGUGUCAAAGGUUAGAGGUUCAUGGCAAUUUGGGAGGCUUGAUGAGCAAAAGAUAGGUAACGCAGCAUAGCGAUAGAACGAAGCAACUAGCAUAGCAAUGAUAGUAGUGAGAUCCAGGGUAGCGGUCAUCUUGCCUGAAAUCCCACUAGGAAGAAGAAUGAGUCCAUGAAGAAGACAAGCGGAAGUAGUCAAACGAAUCCUCACAAUCGCAACGUUACCGGAACUAAGAAGCAACACCGGAAAGAAACAAACAACAUGGUAAGCACACAAGCAUAAUCAUGGCAUGAUGCACAACCAAGUAUGAUGCAUGUCCGGUUUAAAGAGGCAUGGCAUGGCAAACUGCAACACACAAUACUACAAAUUAAGUGGAGCUCAAUAUGCAACGAGUUGCAUAUUGACAAAACACCACAUUGACAUAUUUAGUUUAAUCUUGUUUAUGUACCCAACAAUAUUAAAUGUUGUUAAACAUGGCAAGAGGUGAAGCAUAAGAAAACUAACUAUAUAGGCAAGUUUAAAUGAGGCCGGAAAUAACAAACAACAAUUCCGGAAAAUCCCCAUAUGCAAAUUUUAGAUUCGGUACUGUUCUGCCCUAAACACAAUUUUAUUGUUGUUAAAAAGUAAAACAAAGUGGACCAUGUUAAACUAGGCAUUUUUCCACCCCAUUUACAUAUAAAGUUUAUUUAAAACAGAUUUACGGUUAUUUAGUUACGAAAUAAAUCAUUUUAGCAUGGCAUUAUGCAAAAGAAACACAAACAGCAUGUUAAACAUUUUAACAUGGGAUGAAAAUGACAUAUUAUUAAUCUACACAAUUUUCUGAGCAUUUUUCAUAUAUAAUGUUUUUACAAAAUAUGCAUAGUUUGUGAGUUAUUAAAUGCAUGAAAUCUAGGGACUAUUCUGCAAAACAGGUAAAUCCUGGAUUAAUCCUAAAAUCGCACAGACUGGAAAAAAACACUACUGGGCUGAAACUAUUGGGCGCUGGGCUGCUCACCUAGCUGGGCUAGGCCCAGAUCGGAAGCAGAGGGAGCCGGCUGGGGGGGUGCAGGACGUGGGCUGCUGGGCUGGAGGCGAUCGAGGCCUGGUACACGCGGGCGUGGUCAACGCAAGCGCUCGGUCGUUUCUGACGAGAGGAAGCAGGCGGCAGCGGGACUGAGAUGGCGCUGGUGGCCUCCGGCGAGGGCAUGGAGGUCGACGGCGAGAGGGGAACCGCGGGGAAGGGGAGGGACGACCGGGAUCCACCAGAUCCAGUGGUGGGGAACCCGUUCCCGACGACGGCGAGGACCACCGACGACGGGCGGAGCUCCAUGGCUUCCUGUAGAGUGGGGGGGAGAGAGAGAUCGUGAGAGGGAGAGAAAGCCAGAGGAGAGGGGAGACGGGGAGGCGCUACCUGGCGGAGGCGGCGGCCACGAUCUCCGGCGGGGACUGACUCCGGUGACCCGCCGGAGCAGGGAACGACGACGGGAGGCGAGGCUGAGAGGCGGCGGCGGCGCUCUCGAUCCCCUGAUCGAGCGGGAGGAGCGGGGUGGCUCAAGCGCCCUGCGGCUGCGGGAUCCGGGCCUGGCGCGGCCCGGCGCGGGCUCCAGAUAGGCUUCACAGGGCCGCGGGGAAGUGGGGCGGCUGGAGGCGCGGGAGGGAACACGUGGCAGCGCCUGGGCGGCUGCGGCGACGCUGGAGGGUGACUUGGAACGCGGGGAGUGGCUGAAGGGCGUGGCGGCGGCGCAGCCAAGUGGCGAAGGUGGCUUGGCCGGCGCAGACUGCGAGGAGGGGCGGCGGCUGCGGGUUAGGGGCGCAGAAAAAGAGGAGGAGGGGGUAGGAUUCCAGAUUAGGAAGGACUAGCCUUCCUUAUAUAGGCAGGGUUAGGGUUAGGGGGGUUUCGGACACAAGAGGGGUUAGGCAGGCCUAGGUGGGCUGUGUAGAAUGCCUCGAGCUGAGAAGAGAGAGAAACAGAGCGACCCGGUGGCAGUUUCCGGAGAACAAAACGUCCGACGAUUAAACCGACUAUAUCGCGGUUAUAAAUAUAACGGUUGGGCAGUCAAACGGACUCCAAAUGCGACGAAACUUGGCAGGCGGCCUGUCUACACUAUAAUAAGACCGCACGACAAGUUGCAACCCAUUCCGAGAACAUUUUUGCCACUUAUAAAAUAAUAUUUCAGAGGUGCCGCGGGCGCGUGCGAGUGUGUCUGGGCUCGGAACGGACAACGGAGAGAACCGGCGGAACCAGAACGGAUGCAAGUUUUAUGAAAACAUAUGGAUGCGAUGCACAUGAUGCUAUGAGAUGAGAUGCAUAACAAGAACAAAAUGCAAAACAAAUGACAAAAACCCAACCACGAAGGAAAUAUCAUAUAGCAUCUCUGGAAAAGGCAAGAGUCGGAGUUACGAAUAUGGAAAGUUGUAUCCGGGGCGUUACACCGGGGGGGUUAAAAUAAAGAUGACCCUUGAGUCUGCAGAACCCAAGGGAAAAAGGCUUAGGUGGCAAAUGUUAAAACCAAGGUUGGGCCUUGCCGGAGGAGUUUUAUUCAAAGAGAACUGUCAAGGGGGGUCCCAUAAAUCACCCAACCGUGUAAGGAACGCAAAAUCAAGGAACAUAACACCGGUAUGACGGAAACUAGGGCGGCAAGAGUGGAACAAAACACCAGGCAUAAGGCCGAGUCUUCCACCCUUUACCAAGUAUAUAGAUGCAUUAAUUAAAUAAGAGAUAUUGUGAUAUCCCAACAUAAUCCUGUCCAUCAUGGAGCAAUCUUCAACUUCACCUGCAACUAACAAUGCAAUAAGAGGGGCUGAGCAAAGCGGUAACAUAGCCAAGCAAUGGUUUGCUAGGAAGGGUGAAAAAGGUUAGAGGCUGACAUGGCAAUAUGGGAGGCAUGGUAAACAAGUGAUAGGUAGCGCAACAAAGUGAUAGAACGGAGCAACUAGAAAGCAAAGAUAGAACUGAUAUCGAGGGUAAUAGUCAUCUUGCCUGAAAUCCCACAAGGAAGAAGAACGUAGUCGAACGAAUCCUCACAACUCCGGAACAAAACCGAAGCUAACAAGAGAAGCAAACCGGAAAGAAGCAAACAACAUGGUAAACACACAAGCAUAAACAUGUCAUGAUGCACAAACAAGUAUGAUGCAUGUCCGGUUUAAUGAGGCAUGGCAUGGCAAAGUGCAACAAACAAUACUACAAGUUAAGUGGAGCUCAAUAUGCAACGAGUUGCAUAUUGACGAAACACCACAUUCAAAUAUUUAGUUCUCUCUCGUUUAGGUUAACCAACAAUAUUAAAUGUUGUCAAACAUGGCAAGAGGUGAAACAUAAUUGAACUAACUAUUUAGGCAAGUUUAAAUGAGGCCGGAAACAACAAACAACAAUUCUGGAAAAUCCCCACAUGUUAUUUAGCAAUUUAAAGCAAACACAAAUUUAAACCAUUUUAGAUGUUGUUAUCAUGAUGCGGAUGACAUAUGCAAGUUUUAUGCAAUUUUUAUGAAAACAUUGACAUGAGCAUGAUACGACGCAUUUGUCGCCGUGGCGGAAGGAAAAAGGUGCCACGGCGGUGAAACAGAAAUGGUGCCACGGCAACAUUCCGGUCCCGGUAACUCAUGGAGGUACCGGUGCAAAAGGAAGUGUGACGUGAGCGAGUCAUGCAAGAUGGUGGGGUGCUCCCGGAUUCCGGGUUCCCACGGGACAGCGGCAUGGCAAACGAGGAACGUGCAAAGACCUCUCUCGGACACGGUGCAAACAUAUCGUACAUCUCAUACAACACACAUGCAUUCGUUCGCGGGCGUCGUCUCGGGUUUAUACCUUCGAAGCGUGCAUUUCGGAGUGGGUCGAGUUCGACGAAGGAAGUAGUCGUUCACGGGUUGUCGUCGGAAGUAGUUGUUCACGUGGCGACGGUAGUGGAAGUAGUCGUACACGGCGGCGGCGGUAGUUGUUCAGGGUCUUGGCGGGUCGUCGUGUAGCCGUACAUGUUCGUCGUGGUACAUGGUUCGUAGACAUUCAAGUCAUCGGUAGAGGAAGUAGUGGUACACGGCCGUAGUGGAAGUAGUCGUACACAAUCCAUAGAUGUUCGGCGUCGCCGGUAGUUGUACACAGUCGUUGUUGGACUUGAUGGAUCCGAGGGCUCUGGGCAUCAUGGUACUUGGCGAAAACCACGAAGAGGGUACUUGUACUCGCAUCGUCGUGGAAGUAGUCGUUCGGGCUCCCGUGCGGACUUGGUGGUCUUGGUCUCCGCAGCGUAGUAGUACAAAAACAUCAUCGGACUUGGACGAAUCCAGAGGCGUGCACAGGUAGAGAUGGAGAGGAGGUCAGGGUCCUCCAGUUCUGGCCGCGAGCAGGGCGAAGCCAUGACCGCAGUAGGAGGCGAGGAGGAGCAGGCGAAGGCGAGGCAGGGGCAGGACCAGAUGGCGAGGCGGCAAGGUUCGACGACCCGGCGAUGGGGCGCGCUGGAGAUGAUGGGGAACGGGCGCGGGAAGAGCAGCGGCAGCAGGGCACGGUAGGGCGCGGGGACGGCAGGGGCGUGGUCGCGGGGCUCGUGCAACGCCAUAGGAAGCAGGGCAGGGGCGACAAUGGAUCUGGAGCUUGAGGCGGCGGCGUUGUGGAGGGACGGCAGCCUGGUCACCGGCAGCUCGAACCGGUGGCCGGACGGCAGGGCACGGAUGCCCGAGGAGCUCCUAAACAGGGGCUCGGGCGGCUGUAGGCGCGAUGAGGAGCUUGGACAGGGGAAGGCAUCCAUGGGGAUCGGGACGAGGGCGCACGCUACCCUCUCUCUGUGGCGGCGUCGGGAGGAAGGGGGGAUUGAGGGGAGCGGCCGCGGGAGCGAGGGGAGGGUCAGGCGUGGGGCAUUGGCGGGUGACGGCAGCGAUGGAUCGAGCGGUUUCGCUGGCAUCGAAGUGUGGCGGCGGCACAGGAACGAGGGGGAGAGAUGGGGAUCCGGAGAGAGCGUGGUGAGGGGCUAGGGUUAUAAGCGCGGCUGGGCCUUAGAGGCCGGCCCGGUAGAGAAGGAAGUGGCCAGAGGCCUGGCUGGGCUCUCUCUCACUCUAAAAAUAAGAAACAAAACAGAGAUGAGAAAGAAAAGAAAAAGAUGUUAGGGAAAGAAGUUGGACUCGCGGAUAAUUUUCCCGGACCCACAAGAAUGUGUUUGUUCCGAGAAAAUAGAAAAGGCCAUGGUUGAAAGAUGUAAAUUCAAACUCAUUUGAUUUAAAUUCAAAUGAUUUGAAUGGGAAGUGAGGGUUGGGAAGGUCCCAAAAUGUUUGGAUUUUUGGUGGAGCUCCGGAAUAUGAUGAAAGAAAUUAUGGGCAAGGUUGGAGACCAAGAAUUGAGAUAACAACGGCAUUGGGAUAAUUUGCAAGUGUGUUAUGGUGAUUUCCAAAUUAAAGAAAUAUUUAAUAUAGCUCCCUAAUAUUGGGAGGAUAUGUUAUAAAGAGAAGUCACCUUUCCCUCGAUUUAAAUGGAUCAAAAAAUCCAUACAAUUAAUGAUAUGAUGGCAUGAUGACAUGAUGCAAUGCAAGAGAUGAUAUGAUGAAAUGCAACAAACAAAAAUAAAACACACGGCGAAACUCAGAAUAGCUGGAAGUCUUUUGGAGCGUCGGUCUCGGGGCGUCACAGAGGAUUACCAAGAUGAGAAAAAUUAGCAUCCAUGUUAGAAACAGGAAAAUUCUACUUAAUAUCUUGAAUAACAGCCUGACUAACAUGAGCACAAAACAUAAUAGCAGACUUGGCCCAAUUUGGAGUUUGACCUGACACGGAACAAAAAUGAUUGAUAAUAUUGGCCAUAGCAUUAGCUUCAUGAAUAGUAGCUUGACCACAUACCAACAAAUCAUCUGCAAACAAAAGAGAGUGAAUCGGGGGGCAAUUUGGUCCAAGCAGAAUACCCUGCAGACUAUGAGCAGCUAAAGCUUCGUUAAGAGCAAGAGAUAAUUCAUUAAUGGCAAUAACAAACAAAUAAGGGAACAUAGGACAACCUUGACGAAUACCCCUAGAACUUUUGAAUUUAUGAGAAGGACUACCAUUAAUGACCACAGAAAAAGUAGGAGAAGAAAUGCACUCAUAAAUCAAAUUUAUGAAAUGAGCAUGCCAUCCUUUACGUGCAAGAGCUGAAACAAUGAAGCUCCAUUCUAAACGAUCAAAAGCCUUAGCAAGAUCAAUUUUAAGCAUGAAAGCAAGGUGAUUCCAAGAACGAAGAGCAAAAGAGUGAGAAAUCUCUUGAGCAAUAAUGAUAUUGUCACUAAUUUUUCUACCUUCAAUGAAAGCUUGUUGAGCAGGGUCAAUAUAAUCUGGAAGAUGAGGCUUAAGACGAUUAGCUAAAGAUUUGGCAAUGAUUUUGUAAAUAACAUUGCAAAGAUUAAUGGGACGAUAAUCCAUAGGAACCUGAGGAACAAGUUUUUUAGGAAUGAGAGCAAUGUUUGUAUCACUCACGUGAGGGGGCAAUAUACCUGUUCUAUAAAAAUUGACUACCAAUUGAGUGACAUCGUCUCCUAUCCAAUCCCAAGUAGCCAAAUAAAACUCGACAUUAAAACCAUCUGGCCCUGGAGAAGCAUUUAACUUCAUGUCCUUCAAAAUCUGCAAGACCUCAUUUUUAUCCGGAAUUAAAUAAGUAGGGUCUAAAGAGCCCUCCGGUAACUGAGAAGCAAGAAAAGGUCUACCAUAGUUGAUAUGAGUGGAAGAGAAGAUAUAUCUGAAAUAAUUAACAAAGGUAUUAGCAAUGAGACUAGGCUUAAAAUGCACAAUAUUAUUUUCAUCCUUAACCAAGCAGAUAGUAUUCCUUUUCCUUCGCUUAAGCACAACUUGAUGAAAAAAAUUCGUAUUACGAUCACCAUCAGUAGCCCAUCCUUUCUUACUUCUUUGCUUAUAGAAACUAUUCAGUUUAGAGAGAGUUUGCUCAUACCUGAGAAUAAGUGAAUUUUCUAAAGCAUGAUCUUGUUGAUUGAUCGGAAGCUCCUGAAUCUGCUUGAUACUAGAUUCUAGUUCCUGAAGCUCUUGCUGAAAAGGUUUCUUCUUCCUACACCAAGUUUUCAAAGCCCCUGCCAACGAAGAUGUUUUUGCAAUAAAAGAACCUGCUCUAGCAUUGUUCCAAGCAGACUUAGCAAAGCUACUAAAAUCCUUCUCCAUUAACCACCAAUUUUCAAAUUUGAAAGUCUGCUUAGGUUUAACAAAACUACCAUCAGUAGAAAUAAGUAUGGGAGCAUGGUCACCAACGAUGAUAGGUAAAUUAAGCACCUUAGUAUUGGGAUAAUGAGCACACCAAUCAGCAUUAACAAGACAAUGAUCCAAACGUCUAUAAAUAGGAUUAACAGUGUGCUGCCUAUUGCGCCAAGUGUAAGUAGGACCACUAAAAUCAAUGUCAAAGAAACCAUAGUUUUUGACAAUAGAACGAAAAGCAGACAUACGAAAAUAAUUUACACUACCAUUACAGCCAUCCGUAUCAUACAAAAUAUCAUUAAGGUCUCCCAUACAGAUCAUAGGUUUUCCGAGGUUAUCAUACACAAAAGUGGAAACCUGAUUCCAAAUGGCACUAGUCUGCCUAUGAUAAGGAUCACCAUAUAUACAUAUCAAACAAAAGUGAACCCCCGAGGCUAGAUGAACUACAUUGGCUAGGAUAAAGUGAAAGGAGGAACUAUGAACAGAGACUUUAAGAUCGUCAUUCCACAAAAGCCAGAGCCCUCCUGAAGCACCUCUAGAAGAAACAACAAAACUGUUAGCCACAUCAAACCUAUUCACAAGAUCAACCGAAUGAACCUUCGAAGAUUUGAUUUCCGAAACAAAUAUUACCUGAGCUUUUGUAGAACGGAUCAGAUUCGCCAGGAACAACAUUCGAUCACUAUCGAGGCCCCGGCCCAUACCUCGGCAAUUCCAAGCUAUGGCUUUCAUGGCGCCUGAGGCGCGUUAGGGCCAUGCGCCGCUGCCCGAGAAAAGGAUUGCGCUAAGUUCCUAUGUGCAUCAUCAUCCAACUCCAUGUUAUGUCCAAACUGAUUCUUCUUGAGAUCCAGUGUACCAGAGUCAUCUUGAUUUUCCAUUGAGACAUGAGCUGUAGAGCUACAAAUGCCACCAUGAACAUGCAGAUCCUUGUGAUGGAAGCGAUCAAUGCCAGGAGGAGAGAAAGCCCCCUGACGGGAUCCAACUGUACCCUCACCGACCGACGGCGAAGGAGUGCUCAGGGUCGAGGGAUCAUAGCUUCCUCCUUCAUCCUAACGAAAAACCAUAAUUGAUCCGCCCUGUUCAGUGCUGGCUUCAACAGUCAUGCUCCCCAAAUUUUUGCAUCGGCUUGUGCACACAUUAUUGCUACUGUCCACUUGAGCUGAGCUGUUGUCACGCUUCCAAGUGGAAGAACGAGCACGAUUGCGAAGAAACCCAUGGAAAUUAGGACGCACACCUCCAGAUUCCCCGUUCGGAGGAAUGUCCCAUCUACUAUUCCUAGAUCGAUGGUAGCUCCGCUGAGAUGUUGUGGAUCCAGGAAACUCAGCGCCCCCCAAAAAAACUCCUCUUAUUGAACUCCUUACCGCAGUGCUGGCAACACCAUCAUGAAUAACAGGGGCGGCUCCCACACCACCAGCUGGAUAUGAUUGUCCAAUGAAAACUUGCGUGACGGGCGGAGCACCAAGUAAGCUUGAUUGACUGGCAGCCUUCUUCGCCGGAGGAGAAGGGAUACCAAGAAGUAAGGCGGAUGUACGUUUGGGACUGGAUCGAAUAGGCGAGGGGUUGGGAUGGCGCAUAGGAGAAGGGGGAAGUGCUAUGUCCGGGGAAGGGGAAGGACAAAUAGCGACAUUUGCAUUGGAAACUUUGUCCUCCAAAUGCAUUUGAAUAGCAGAGGUAGGGGAAGUCUGCACAAAGUGAGAUGAAGGCACAACGCACAGACUAGGAAUAUCUGCGAGGCGAAGAGGAUUAUUUUGGGUAGUCUGCUGGUCCAAAUCUGGCUCAUAUCUCUGUCCCUGAAUAUGCAUCUUUUCUGCAGACGUGCGCCGAGGGCCUGGCAACUGCUGAGAUAAUGGGCCUGACUGUUUUGCACCCCCUACCUGCUCCGGGUCAGCAAGAGCACCACUUUGUUGUACUGAAUCCCGCAAGUCUUCAACUAGCCCUCCUUCUACAUUAUUGCUUCGCCCAGCAUCUGUCUCCUUAGUAACUGUAUCUGGUAACAUCAUUGUUUCCAUUAAAUCACCAGUUUGACUCUGCCGCUGACUAUGAAUGAAAUUAGGUAGAGCAGUAUUAACUCCAACCUGCUCUUGAAUUAUCUGAAGCUCUGUAUUUUUUGAAGAAUUGUCUCCUUCCAUUCUUUUAUUUUGUUCAUUAAUUUUCCUUAAAGAUAAUUCCUUCUGAUUUCCUUUGUCAGCAGAAUCCUCUUCUGACAUCUUUCCUUUUCCUUUUAGAUCCUCUAUGAACUGCCUCUGCAACCUUGCUAGCUGAGGAUUGAUGAAAGAUGAGAAUGAAUUUGUGAUCUAUUUGUGCACGCAUGCAUUCUGUAUGUGCAGCUUGCAAGGAAAUGAUGAACAUCCAAGCAAGAACUAUGUGAUCCUAGAUUGGCAGAACGUAGAACCCACAGUUGCUGGGAGCAUAUUUCAAAAUGCCAAACUUUAUCUCCAUAUCUUGAUCUCUUGGUGUUCGGGAAAUAAAAAACAAUUUUCAACAAAUUUGAGCAACUUGACUCCUGUGUCCUCAGACACGUAACGACUAGGAUAUUUUUUAUGUCAUAAACAAUGGUGGAUGUGAAAAAAAAAACGAGUUUCAAAGGCCCGACGAUAGUCUCAGGAAUGUAACCCAUCAAAUUGGUUUUAAAACAUGAGAGCUAUGAAAAUUCUCAAGUGUAUCUCAUUCCCUCUGAAGAGGCUCCACUGCUGGGUGGCCGGCAGCUCAUAACUGCCAAGAUUUGUUGUGUGAUGUUUAAUAAAUAGGCCAAGAUUUGUUCCUGCCGUUUAAAACUUGGUCCUGACAUAAAAAAUGAUCAUAAACACUAAAUAAUUUGUCAUGCAAUGUUAAGAAAAAAAUGUUUGUGCCAUUUAGAAAAAUGUUCACACAUAUGAAAAAUCGUUCCUGAAAAUGUAAAAAAAAUCAUUUGCUCAACUUUAAUAAGAUGUUCAUACCAUUCAAAAAAUAUUUUUGACCUUUAAAAUAUUCAAACAUAUGAAAAUAUGUUGAUGAUAUUUGAAAUAUGAUCAAGAAAAUGUAAAAACGUGUUCACCCAAUUCUUAAGAAAUGUUUUUAGCAUUCCAAAAAUGUCAUGACAUUUACAAAUGUUCAAACAAUUUAAAAAGACCUUGACAUAUAAAAAAUAUUCCUACCAUUUAAAAACUGUCCAUAACACUUUAGAACUUUUCAAAGAUGUACCAAAGAUAAUCAGUGUGUACUUAAAAGGUGUUCAACGUGUGUACGAGACAUUUUUAGUGUGAAUUCAGAAAAUGUUCAGCUUGUUUUUGGAAAAAUGGAGAUGUGUGUUUCAAUUUUCUUUUCUUGAAAAAUGUAAAAAAUUUAUUCACUCAAAUUUGUAAAAAUGUUCACGGCAUAUAAAAAAUGUCCAUGCACUAAAACAGACAAACUAAAAUUCAUGAAUUUGUAAAAAUAAAAGGAAAAAUGAAAUGAAAAAAGAAAAAGUAGAACAAAGAAGGAAAACAGAAAACCAAACAGUAAAUAAAAACCCAAAAAUGGAAAACCGACAAAGAACCGCAUAUAAGAAAAAAGAAAACAGGACAAUUGAAAAGGAAAAAUAAAAAUUGAAAACAAAAANNNNNNNNNNNNNNNNNNNNNNNNNNNNNNNNNNNNNNNNNNNNNNNNNNNNNNNNNNNNNNNNNNNNNNNNNNNNNNNNNNNNNNNNNNNNNNNNNNNNNNNNNNNNNNNNNNNNNNNNNNNNNNNNNNNNNNNNNNNNNNNNNNNNNNNNNNNNNNNNNNNNNNNNNNNNNNNNNNNNNNNNNNNNNNNNNNNNNNNNNNNNNNNNNNNNNNNNNNNNNNNNNNNNNNNNNNNNNNNNNNNNNNNNNNNNNNNNNNNNNNNNNNNNNNNNNNNNNNNNNNNNNNNNNNNNNNNNNNNNNNNNNNNNNNNNNNNNNNNNNNNNNNNNNNNNNNNNNNNNNNNNNNNNNNNNNNNNNNNNNNNNNNNNGAAAGCAAGUGGAAACAGGUCGGCCUAGAAAGACGCAUGAGUAGAAACGCUUGAGGCGAGGUGGUACUCUAUCUCAUAGCAAACGAGAUAUAUCAUCCGCGAAGGAGGAGGGGUGGGGGGCAUGGAACCACCAUGCAAGUAGGCCGCCCCUCGCCCCAAAGAAUAAGUGAGACCAUGGGCCCACCCCGGUGAAGAGGGGUUGGGUCAAGCAUGCACACAAGAUAAUUUUAUUGAAUUUUCAAACUUCAGUAAAUAACAUAGGCCACAAUUGAGGAGGCGGUAGUCGAUAGGAAUGUCUCCUCCCCCUCUGGUAGGAUAGGGGUGGACUAACGAGUAGCUCGGCUUGUUAAGCUCGUACUCGUUAAGCUUGUGCUCAUUAAGGAUCGGCUCGUUAAGCUCGUUAAGAUUAACGAGCAGAAAACCCUGCUUGGCUCGGCUCGUUUGAAACUCGUUAAGCUCGUGAGCGCUCGUUAAUAGAUAAUAAUGUGUUAUGAUAUACAUGAUGAAUGUCUAGGUAUGGCUUUCAAAACGAAAUAUGAUGACUACAAAAAAAAUGAAGUAGUUUGUUGCCUCAUAUGUCGAUUAGAUUAAAUAAUGGGUUGAGAUGCUAAAAACUUUGACACGUAAUAUGAAAAUAUGUGUUGUGUUGUUACUAACGAGCUUAACGAGCUACUCGUGAAACUCGUUAGCUCGCUCGUUAAGCUCGUUAAGCUUAACGAGCUAAAAUCAAUGAUUGGUUGUGUUCAUUAAGAAGCGAGCUACGAGCUUAACGAGCCGAACUAUUGAGCGCUCAUUAAGCUCGCGAGCUACGGGCUUUUGAUCCAGCCCUAUGCUGGGAUACCAUUGUCCUUCUAAGAGCAUCUCCAGCCGCGCCCCAACAAGGCCCCCCACGCGACUUUUCGGCCGCCGGCGUCAAAAAAACGGCCCAGUCGCGCCCAGGGGCCCAUUUUUUGCCGGCUUGGGCCGAAAUUGGCGCCGGCGGACCCAACCCAAACCCGGCGCGCUGGGGGGGGGCGCUCGGGGCGCCGGGUGAAUCGUUUUUGGCGCGAAAGAGCCACGGGUCAGCCGCGUCAGCGACUCGCCUCUCUUCUCGCCGCUUCGUCGUCCUCAUCGCCUCGUUUCCCGCGGCGAAUCAAUGCCAAAGCUAUCGCGCGCUGUCGCGCCGGUCAGCCUCCAUUGAUGCCUCACGGGCGGCGCAGUGAAGACCGGGCGACGCGUGUCCCCUCGCCCGCCACGCGUACACGCGGCAGCCACGCAUACGCGGCACGUCCGCCUAUAUAAGCCGACCCCAGCGUGCCGGAGACACGCACAGAGCCUCCACCGGCGAUGCGCCAUUUCUCCCCCUUCCUCCCUCUCCUCCCGCCGUCUCCAGUUCAAAGCAUGGCCGAGUGCUUCCCCGGCGACGGCGCGGCGGCGAACGGCUUCAGCCGCCACCUGAUGGAAAUAUGCCCUAGAGGCAUUAAUAAAGUUACUAUUUAUUUCCUCAUAUCAUGAUAAAUGUUUAUUAUUCAUGCUAGAAUUGUAUUAACCGGAAACAUGAUACAUGUGUGAAUACAUAGACAAACAUAACGUCACUAGUAUGCCUCUACUUGACUAGCUCAUUAAUCAAAGAUGGUUAUGUUUCCUAACCAUAGACAUGUGUUGUCAUUUGAUUAAAGAGAUCACAUCAUUAGGAGAAUGAUGUGAUUGACAUGACCCAUUCCGUUAGCCUAGCACUUGAUCGUUUAGUAUGUUGCUAUUGCUUUCUUCAUGACUUAUACAUGUUCGUGUAACUAUGAGAUUAUGCAACUCCCGUUUACCGAAGGAACACUUUGUGUGCUACCAAACGUCACAACGUAACUGGGUGAUUAUAAAGGAGCUCUACAAGUGUCUCCAAAAGUACAUGUUGGGUUGGCAUAUUUCGAGAUUAGGUUUUGUCACUCCGAUUGUCGGAGAGGUAUCUCUGGGCCCUCUCAGUAAUGCACAUCACUAUAAGCCUUGCAAGCAAUGUAGCUAAUGAAUUAGUUACGGAAUGAUGCAUUACGUAACGAGUAAAGAGACUUGCCGGUAACGAGAUUGAACUAGGUAUUAGAUACCGACGAUCGAAUCUCGGGCAAGUAACAUGCCGAUGACAAAGGGAACAACGUAUGUUGUCAUGCGGUUUGACCGAUAAAGAUCUUUGUAGAAUAUGUAGGAGCCAAUAUGAGCAUCCAGGUUCCGCUAUUGGUUAUUGACCGAGAAUAGUUCUAGGUCAUGUCUACAUAGUUCUCGAACCCGUAGGGUCCGCACGCUCAACGUUACGAUGAUAGUUUUAUUAUGAGUUUAUAGAUGUACCGAAGGUUGUUCGGAAUCCCGGAUGUGAUCCAGGACAUGACGAGGAGUCUCGAAAUGGUCGAGACAUAAAGAUUGAUAUAUUGGAAGCCUAUAUUUGGAUAUCGGAAUCGUUCCGGGAGAAACCAGGAUUUUCCCGGAGUACUGGGGGGUUACUGGAACCCCCCCGGGGGUUAUUGGGCCUACAUGGGCCAUGAGGGAGAAGAGGAGGGCCGGCCAGGGCAGGCCGCGCGCCCCCUCCCGGCGCCCCCCUUUCCUCUUUCCCCUCCCUCCUUUCCUUCUCCACCAAGGCAAGAGGGGGGAGUCCUACUCCCAGUGGGAGUAGGACUCCUCCAGGCGCACCCCUAGGGGGCCGGCCACACCUCCCCCCUCCCUCCUCUAUAUACGGGGGCAGGGGGGCACCUCUAGACACACAAGUUGAUCUUCGUGAUCGUUCCUUAGCCGUGUGCGGUGCCCCCCUCCACCAUAUUCCACCUCGGUCAUAUCGUAGAGGUGCUUAGGCGAAGCCCUACGUCGGUAGAACAUCAUCAUCGUCACCACGCCGUCGUGCUGACGGAACUCAUCCCCGACACCCUGCUGGAUCGGAGUCUGGGGAUCGUCAUCGAGUUGAACGUGUGCUGAACUCGGAGGUGCCGUACGUUCGGUACUUGGAUCGGUCGGAUCAUGAAGACAUACGACUACAUCAACCGCGUUGUCAUAACCCUUCCGCUUACGGUCUACGAGGGUACGUGGACAACACUCUCCCCUCUCGUUGCUAUGCAUCACCAUGAUCUUGCGUGUGCGUGGGAUAAUUUUUGAAAUUACUACGUUACCCAACAGUGGCAUCCGAGCCUAGGUUUUAUGCGUUGAUGUUAUUUGCACGAGUAGAACACAAGUGAGUUGUGGGCGAUACAAGUCAUACUGCUUACCAGCAUGUCAUACUUUGGUUCAGCGGUAUUGUUGGAUGAAGCGGCCCGGACCGACAUUACGCGUACGCUUACACGAGACUGGUUUUACCGCCGUGCUUUGCACACAGGUGACUAGCGGGUGUCUGUUUCUCCAACUUUAGUUGAACUGAGUGUGGCUACGCCCGGUCUUUGCGAAGGUUAAAACAGCACUAACUUGACGAACUAUCGUUGUGGUUUUGAUGCGUAGGCAAGAACGGUUCUUGCUCAGCCCGUAGCAGCCACGUAAAAUUUGCAACAACAAAGUAGAGGACGUCUAACUUGUUUUUGCAGGGCUUGUUGUGAUGUGAUAUGGUCAAGACGUGAUGCUAUAUUUUAUUGUAUGAGAUGAUCAUGUUUUAUAACCGAAGUUAUCGGCAACUGGCAGAAGCCAUAUGGUUGUCGCUUUAUUGUAUGAAAUGCAAACGCCCUGUAAUUGCUUUACUUUAUCACUAAGCGGUAGCGAUAGUCGUAGAAGCAAUAGAUGGCGUAACGACAACGAUGCUACGAUGGAGAUCAAGGUGUCGCGACGGCGACGAUGGUGAUCACGACGGUGCUUCGGAGAUGGAGAUCACAAGCAUAAGAUGAUGAUGGCCAUAUCAUAUCACUUAUAUUGAUUGCAUGUGAUGUUUAUCCUUUAUGCAUCUUAUCUUGCUUUGAUUGAUGGUAGCAUUUUAAGAUGAUCUCUCACUAAAUUAUCAAGAAGUGUUCUCCCUGAGUAUGCACCGUUGCGAAAGUUCUUCGUGCUGAGACACCACGUGAUGAUCGGGUGUGAUAGGCUCUACGUUCAAAUACAACGGGUGCAAAACAGUUGCACACGCGGAAUACUCAGGUUAAACUUGACGAGCCUAGCAUAUAACAGAUAUGGCCUCGGAACACGGAGACCGAAAGGUCGAACGUGAAUCAUAUAGUAGAUAUGAUCAACAUAGUGAUGUUCACCAUUGAAACUACUCCAUCUCACGUGAUGAUCGGACAUGGUUUAGUUGAUUUGGAUCACGUGAUCACUUAGAUGACUAGAGAGAUGUCUGUCUAAGUGGGAGUUCUUAAGUAAUAUGAUUAAUUGAACUUAAAUUUAUCAUGAACUUAGUACCUGAUAGUAUUUUGCUUGUCUAUGUUUGUUGUAGAUAGAUGGCUCGUGCUGUUGUUCCGUUGAAUUUUAAUGCGUUCCUUGAGAAAGCAAAGUUGAAAGAUGAUGGUAGCAAUUACACGGACUGGGUCCGUAACCUGAGGAUUAUCCUCAUUGCUGCACAGAAGAAUUACGUCCUGGAAGCACCGCUGGGUGCCAGGCCUGCUGGUGAUGCAACUGAUGACGUUAAGAACAUCUGGCAGAGCAAAGCUGAUGACUACUCGAUAGUUCAGUGUGCCAUGCUUUACGGCUUAGAACCGGGUCUUCAACGCCAUUUUGAACGUCAUGGAGCAUAUGAGAUGUUCCAGGAGUUGAAGUUAAUAUUUCAAGCAAAUGCCCGGAUUGAGAGAUAUGAAGUCUCCAAUAAGUUCUAUAGCUGCAAGAUGGAGGAGAAUAGUUCUGUCAGUGAACACAUACUCAAAAUGUUUGGGUAUAAUAAUCACUUGAUUCAACUGGGAGUUAAUCUUCCUGAUGAUAGUGUCAUUGAUAGAAUUCUUCAAUCACUGCCACCAAGCUACAAGAGCUUCGUGAUGAACUAUAAUAUGCAAGGGAUGAACAAGACUAUUCCCGAGCUCUUCGCAAUGCUAAAAGCCGCGGAGGUAGAAAUCAAGAAGGAGCAUCAAGUGAUGAUGGUCAACAAGACCACCAGUUUCAAGAAAAAGGGCAAAGGGAAGAAGAAGGGGAACUUCAAGAAGAACAGCAAACAAGUUGCUGCUCAAGGGAAGAAACCCAAGUCUGGACCUAAGCCUGAGACUGAGUGCUUCUACUGCAAGCAGACUGGACACUGGAAGCGGAACUGCCCCAAGUAUUUGGCAGAUAAGAAGGAUGGCAAAGUAAACAAAGGUAUAUGUGAUUUACAUGUUAUUGAUGUGUACCUUACUAAUACUCGCAGUAGUGCCUGGGUAUUUGAUACUGGUUCUGUUGCUAAUAUUUGCAACUCGAAACAGGGACUACAGAUUAAGCGAAGAUUGGCUAAGGACGAGGUGAUGAUGCGCGUGGAAAAUGGUUCCAAAGUCGAUGUGAUCGCAGUCGACACGCUACCUCUACAUCUACCAUCAGGAUUAGUUUUAGACAUAAAUAAUUGUUAUUUGGUGCCAGCAUUGAGCAUGAACAUUAUAUCUGGAUCUUGUUUGAUGCGAGACGGUUAUUCAUUUAAAUCAGAGAAUAAUGGUUAUUCUAUUUAUAUGAGUAAUAUCUUUUAUGGUCAUGCACCCUUGAAGAGUGGUCUAUUUUUAUUGAAUCUCGAAAGUAGUGAUACACAUAUUCACAGUGUUGAAACCAAAAGAUGCAGAGUUGAUAAUGAUAGUGCAACUUAUUUGUGGCACUGCCGUUUAGGUCAUAUCGGUAUAAAGUGCAUGAAGAAACUCCAUACUGAUGGACUUUUGGAAUCACUUGAUUAUGAAUCACUUGGUACUUGCGAACCGUGCCUCAUGGGCAAGAUGACUAAAACGUCGUUCUCCGGAACUAUGGAGCGAACAACUGAUUUAUUGGAAAUCAUACAUACUGAUGUUUGUGGUCCAAUGAAUAUUGAGGCUCGCGGCGGGUAUCGUUAUUUUCUCACCUUCACAGAUGAUUUAAGUAGAUAUGGGUAUAUCUACUUAAUGAAACACAAGUCUGAAACAUUUGAAAAGUUCAAAGAAUUUCAUAGUGAAGUGGAAAAUCAUGGUAAUAAGAAAAUAAAAUUUCUACGAUCUGAUCGUGGAGGAGAAUAUUUGAGUUACGAGUUUGGUUUACAUUUGAAACAAUGCGGAAUAGUUUCGCAACUCACGCCACCCGGAACACCACAACGAAAUGGUGUGUCCGAACGUCAUAAUCGUACUUUACUAGAUAUGGUGCGAUCUAUGAUGUCUCUUACUGAUUUACCGCUAUCGUUUUGGGGUUAUGCUUUAGAGACGGCCGCAUUCACGUUAAAUAGGGCACCAUCAAAAUCCGUUAAGACGACGCCUCAUGAACUGUGGUUUGGCAAGAAACCAAAGUUGUCAUUUCUUAAAGUUUGGGGCUGCGAUGCUUAUGUGAAGAAACUUCAACCAGAUAAGCUCGAACCCAAAUCGGAGAAAUGUGUCUUCAUAGGAUACCCAAAAGAGACUGUUCGGUACACCUUCUAUCACAGAUCUGAGGGCAAGAUUUUCGUUGCUAAAUUCGGAUCCUUUCUAGAGAAAGAGUUUCUCUCGAAAGAAGUGAGUGGGAGGAAAGUAGAACUUGAUGAGGUAACUGUACCUGCUCCCUUAUUGGAAAGUAGUCCAUCACAAGAACCGGUUCCUGUGACAACUACACCAAUUAGUGAGGAAGCUAAUGAUAUUGAUCAUGAAACUUCAGAUCAAGUUUCUACUGAACUUCGUAGGUCUACCAGAGUAAGAUCCGCACCAGAGUGGUACGGUAAUCCUAUUCUGGAAGUCAUGUUACUUGACCAUGGCGAACCUACGAACUAUGAGGAAGCGAUGAUGAGCCCGGAUUCCGCAAAAUGGCUAGAAGCCAUGAAAUCUGAGAUGGGAUCCAUGCAUGAGAACAAAGUAUGGACUUUGGUUGACUUGCCCGAUGAUCGUCAAGCCAUUGAAAAUAAAUGGAUCUUUAAGAAGAAGACUGACGCAGAUGGUAAUAUAAUUGUCUAUAAAGCUCGACUUGUUGCAAAAGGUUUUUGACAAGUUUAAGGGGUUGACUACGAUGAGACUUUCUCACCCGUAGCGAUGCUUAAGUUUGUCCGAAUCAUGUUAGCAAUUGCUGCAUUUUAUGAUUAUGAAAUUUGGCAAAUGGAUGUCAAAACUGCAUUCUUGAAUGGAUUUCUGGAAGAAGAGUUGUAUAUGAUGCAACCAGAAGGUUUUGUCGAUCCAAAAGGUGCUAACAAAGUGUGCAAGCUCCAGCGAUCCAUUCAUGGACUGGUGCAAGCAUCUCGGAGUUGGAAUAAACGCUUUGAUAGUGCGAUCAAAGCAUAUGGUUUUAUACAGACUUUUGGAGAAGCCUGUAUUUACAAGAAAGUGAGUGGGAGCUCUAUAGCAUUUCUGAUAUUAUAUGUAGAUGACAUAUUAUUAAUUGGAAAUGAUAUAGAAUUUCUGGAUAGCAUAAAGGGAUACUUGAAUAAAAGUUUUUCUAUGAAAGACCUCGAUGAAGCUGCUUACAUAUUGGGCAUCAAGAUUUAUAGAGAUAGAUCAAGACGCUUAAUUGGACUUUCACAAAGCACAUACCUUGAUAAAGUUUUGAAAAAGUUUAAAAUGGAUUAGGCAAAGAAAGGGUUCUUGCCUGUAUUACAAGGUGUGAAGUUGAGUCAGACUCAAUGCCCGACCACAGCAGAAGAUAGAGAGAAAAUGAAAAAUAUUCCCUAUGCUUCAGCCAUAGGCUCUAUCAUGUAUGCAAUGCUGUGUACCAGACCUGACGUAUGCUUAGCAAUAAGCUUGGCAGGAAGGUACCAAAGUAAUCCAGGAGUGGAUCACUGGACAGCGGUCAAGAACAUCCUGAAAUACCUGAAAAGGACUAAGGAUAUGUUUCUCGUAUAUGGAGGUGACAAAGAGCUAGUCGUAAAUGGUUACGUCGAUGCAAGCUUCGACACUGAUCCGGAUGAUUCUAAAUCGCAAACCGGAUACGUGUUUUUAUUAAAAUGGUGGAGCUAUAAGUUGGUGCAGUUCUAAACAAAGCGUCGUGGCGGGAUUUACAUGUGAAGCGGAGUACAUAGCUGCUUCGGAAGCAGCAAAUGAAGGAGUCUGGAUGAAAGAGUUCAUUUCCGAUCUAGGUGUCAUACCUAGUGCAUCGGGACCAAUGAAGAUCUUCUGUGACAAUACUGGUGCAAUUGCCUUGGCAAAGGAAUCCAGAUUUCACAAAAGGACCAAGCACAUCAAGAGACGCUUCAAUUCCAUCCAGGACCAAGUCCAGGUGGGAGACAUAGAGAUUUGCAAGAUACAUACAGAUCUAAAUGUUGCAGACCCGUUGACUAAGCCUCUUCCACGAGGAAAACAUAAUGAGCACCAAGACUCCAUGGGUGUUAGAAUCAUUACUGUGUAAUCUAGAUUAUUGACUCUAGUGCAAGUGGGAGACUAAAGGAAAUAUGCCCUAGAGGCAAUAAUAAAGUUAUUAUUUAUUUCCUCAUAUCAUGAUAAAUGUUUAUUAUUCAUGCUAGAAUUGUAUUAACCGGAAACAUGAUACAUGUGUGAAUACAUAGACAAACAUAACGUCACUAGUAUGCCUCUACUUGACUAGCUCAUUAAUCAAAGAUGGUUAUGUUUCCUAACCAUAGACAUGUGUUGUCAUUUGAUUAAAGAGAUCACAUCAUUAGGACAAUGAUGUGAUUGACAUGACCCAUUCCGUUAGCCUAGCACUUGAUCGUUUAGUAUGUUGCUAUUGCUUUCUUCAUGACUUAUACAUGUUCGUGUAACUAUGAUAUUAUGCAACUCCCGUUUACCGGAGGAACACUUUGUGUGCUCCCAAACGUCACAACGUAACUGGGUGAUUAUAAAGGAGCUCUACAGGUGUCUCCAAAAGUACGUGUUGGGUUGGCGUAUUUCGAGAUUAGGUUUUGUCACUCCGAUUGUCGGAGAGGUAUCUCUGGGCCCUCUCAGUAAUGCACAUCACUAUAAGCCUUGCAAGAAAUGUAGCUAAUGAGUUAGUUACGGAAUGAUGCAUUACGUAACGAGUAAAGAGACUUGCCGGUAACGAGAUUGAACUAGGUAUUAGAUACCGACGAUCGGAUCUCGGGCAAGUAACAUGCCGAUGACAAAGGGAACAACGUAUGUUGUUAUGCGGUUUGACCGAUAAAGAUCUUCGUAGAAUAUGUAGGAGCCAAUAUGAGCAUCCAGGUUCCGCUAUUGGUUAUUGACCGAGAAUAGUUCUAGGUCAUGUCUACAUAGUUCUCGAACCCGUAGGGUCCGCACGCUUAAUGUUACGAUGAUAGUUUUAUUAUGAGUUUAUAUAUUUUGAUGUACCGAAGGUUGUUCGGAGUCCCGGAUGUGAUACAGGACAUGACGAGGAGUCUCGAAAUGGUCGAGACAUAAAGAUUGAUAUAUUGGAAGCCUAUAUUUGGAUAUCAAAAUCGUUCCGGGAGAAACCGGGAUUUUUCCGGAGUACCGGGGGGUUACUGGAACCCCCCCCCCCCCCCGGGGGUUAUUGGGCCUACAUGGGCCAUGAGGGAGAAGAGGAGGGCCGCCCAGGGCAGGCCGCGCGCCCCCUCCCCCCCUAGUCCGAAUAGGACAAGGAAGGGGGGGGCGGCGCCCCCCUUUCCUCUUACCCCUCCCUCCUUUCCUUCUCCACCAAGGCAAGAGGGGGGAGUCCUACUCCCAAGUAGGACUCCUCCAGGCGCACCCCUAGGGGGCCGGCCACACCUCCCCCUCCCUCCUUUAUAUACGAGGGCAGGAGGGCACCUCUAGACACACAAGUUGAUCUUCGUGGUCGUUCCUUAGCCGUGUGCGGUGCCCCCCUCCACCAUAUUCCACCUCGGUCAUAUCGUAGCGGUGCUUAGGCGAAGCCCUACGUCGGUAGAACAUCAUCAUCGUCACCACGCUGUCGUGCUGACGGAACUCAUCCCCGACACCCUACUGGAUCGGAGUCCGGGGAUCGUCAUCGAGUUGAACGUGUGCUAAACUCGGAGGUGCCGUACGUUCGGUACUUGGAUCGGUCGGAUCGUGAAGACGUACGACUACAUCAACCGCGUUGUCAUAACACUUCCGCUUACGGUCUACGAGGGUACGUGGACAACACUCCCCCCUCUCGUUGCUAUGCAUCACCAUGAUCUUGCGUGUGCAUAGGAUAAUUUUUGAAAUUACUACGUUACCCAACACCACCACCUUCACGAGGAUGAAGCUCGGCUCCUCUUCGAGGCCGAGUACCCGGCCCCGCCGGACAUGCGGGUGCCCGGGGCGUGGAGAAUCAGCGCCGGUGGCGUCCCUGUGCCACCCCCACCCACCAGGGCGGCGCGGCGUGCGGAGAUCACGCGUAUCCGCGCCUCCCUGCCGCAGGCGGCGAGGGAGGGACCGCGGUACAUCCCCGACAGCCCGCUCUGGGAGCCUUACUUACGCCGCCGCCACGCCGAACAGCUCGAGUCCACGAAAGGCGUCGUGCCCUCCGGAAGGCUCAACUCCGAGGGGCGGCACCGAUGGUGGGGCGUGCCCGGCCGCACGCUGGAGGUCGUCCUCGAGUACAUCAAGGGCGGCAACACGCCGAGGCUCGAGUACCCUGCUCCCCCGUCCUUCUCUCGCCGACGUGGGAGUUCCUGGACGUCGAGGCACAUGGAGCAUGCUGGGGCGUCCUCCUUCUUAUCCGGCCGCUCGUCCGGCUCCCCUUGCCUCCGCCCCGUCAAGCUGGAACCCCAGGACAUGCCUGUCAGCGGGCACACCNNNNNNNNNNNNNNNNNNNNNNNNNNNNNNNNNNNNNNNNNNNNNNNNNNNNNNNNNNNNNNNNNNNNNNNNNNNNNNNNNNNNNNNNNNNNNNNNNNNNNNNNNNNNNNNNNNNNNNNNNNNNNNNNNNNNNNNNNNNNNNNNNNNNNNNNNNNNNNNNNNNNNNNNNNNNNNNNNNNNNNNNNNNNNNNNNNNNNNNNNNNNNNNNNNNNNNNNNNNNNNNNNNNNNNNNNNNNNNNNNNNNNNNNNNNNNNNNNNNNNNNNNNNNNNNNNNNNNNNNNNNNNNNNNNNNNNNNNNNNNNNNNNNNNNNNNNNNNNNNNNNNNNNNNNNNNNNNNNNNNNNNNNNNNNNNNNNNNNNNNNNNNNNNNNNNNNNNNNNNNNNNNNNNNNNNNNNNNNNNNNNNNNNNNNNNNNNNNNNNNNNNNNNNNNNNNNNNNNNNNNNNCUUCUCCAACGAGGAGGCCCUAAAGUGGGCGCGGGACGACUACCUCCACGACGAGAUGGUCCGGCAGCGCCGGGCCCUGAAGGAGAUAGCCGCCCGCAAACGUGGGCACGAGGACGAGCACGACGUCGUGAUCCUCGACAGCGACGACGACGAGGACGCCCCCGGACCGUCCAACCCGCCGCGCCAACCGGGGGAGGGUUGCAGCAGGGACGGCGGCCGGGCGGAGGCGGCGACGACGACGACGACGAGGACGAUGACGACGGCGGCGACUACACGCGGUUCUAUAGCCUCCUCGGCAUGUAGAAUUGCAAGGGCGGCGGGCGGCGAGGAGCGGUGAAGGAGACGGCGAGGAGUAGCCUACUAGUUAUUUUUAUUUUUUGUAAAAUAUUUUUAAAUAUGAACGAACUCGCUGAAGUUUGGUUGAAUUUGCGUCGUGUUUGUGUCGUAAUUCAAAAUUUCAAAAAACCGUGGGCGCCGCGACUGGGUUGCAUCACGCCCUCAGCGCCCGGUUUAGCGCCGGUGCGCCCCCGGGGGGGGGGGGUGAUUUUUAGCGCCUCCUGGGAGACCAACGGCUGGAGAUGCUCUAACCAUCCAACCAUAAGUUGGUGAGCAUGUUUGGUGCUUGGUUAAUUUGUGUUUGUGUUGUUAUCUGUCCGAUUGUUUAGAUGACAUAUGGGAGAUCAAAAGCAAAUCUAGGAGAAAUCCAUUUUGGAUAUAGUUUUUUAGUAUGAGUUGAACUAAAUGCCAAAGAUGUAAUUGCAGAAAUUUGGGAGGAUGCUUAAAAACAAUUCGCCAAAAUAUGGAGGACAAGUGAAUUGGACUAUGCCACUACAAUUAUGAUUUCUCUGGUUCAUACAGAUGUUGUUACGACACCCGCAAAAAAAGAGAUGCUAUUACGAAACCUGUUUUUGAGAAAUGCAGACAACUUUGCGACACACUUUCAGAUGGCACUGUUAUAUUUUAUUACACUAGGACCUUUUAUUGUCCAUAGCCUCGUUUAGUCCCUUUAUCAUCACAUAUCUCAUGUCAACGCAAUGAUGCCCCUUCCUGCCGCCUCUUUUCCUACGCCGCCUUCUUCCUCUUGGAACUUCCUCUUGGAACUGCCAUGAUGACAUUGCUUUGACGGAAGAUCACUAUCAAUGUGCCCUGAAAUGGUGUAUGAGCAGAACCACAAUAUGCUUUUGUUCUUCUCCAUUAUCCCAAUGAACACUUUCCCUUUUCUGGAAAAACAAUGAUAAAAAAAAUGAAGUGCCAAAUAGUAACCAUCUCUCUUGUACAAUCUGAAUCAACCGCCGGGAAGCUCUGGUUUAUAUAGCCAUAGAGAGAUAUGCAUCAUGCAUAUAUUAAGCUCCUUCACGGUUUUAUUGCUAACCAAGACAUUGCAUCCCAGUGUUCUAUUUGUGCAGCAUGCAGUCUGUAUGAAGAUUUAAGCACGAACCAUGUGGUGACAGACUGACAGAACGCAUAACUCACUAUCCUGGGAGAAUAUAACAAAAUGUCAAACUUUAUCUCCACGUCAUAAUCUCCCAGUGUUCAGGAAAUAAUAAUAAAAUUGAGCAACUUUACACGUCUCUCCUCAGACACGUAGUAAAAACAAGCAACGAUAUGGGAUACAUAUGUCAUCAAUAAUGGUGAACGUGGAAAAACUGAGUUUCAAAGACCCGACGACAGUCUCAGGAAUAUGACCCUCCAGCUACACAAUCAAACAAAAUGGGACAGCAGAUUGUUUUUAGGCGUCCAGAAUUUUUCAGAACUGACAUAGCACAACAAAACCAACAUGGCAUUUCCGAAAACAGGAGGUUAUGCUUUGAUCAUACAACUAUCCUUCAACAAAACCAACAUGGCAUUCUCCUAUAAUAUACACAUUCCAGUUUAAUAUUCUUCCAAUCCAAUUGCAGGACGAACAGAUGAAAAACAAGUUACUACGUUAGACAUCUCACAUCUGGUACAAGCACCAGAGACGUUUCUCUUCAUUAUCACGACCAUGUUCUAGGAAUUCCAAAAUCUCAUUACAGCAAUGGUAGGAAGCUCUCAGCAGUUGUUAGCACACCACUCUCCACUACUACUCACAACUUUGAUUAGCCCAAGAAUAUACAGGGGACGACACUAAUUCACAAAGAAAACCGACCCAAACCACCAAUCUUGCAUACAUACAGAAAAGCCCAUACCCAAGCCAAAACAAGCGUUUGAUUAGGACUCAG
rnacentral:lncRNA from 1 species